AAAAAUUUUAAAUCUUUCAAGUAAAACAUAUAUGUAUAUAUAUAAUUGAGAAAGUUGAUGAUUUAAAAGAGAAUUGUUUUCAAAUAUUUAUAGCAAAAUAGACCAAAACGUUUGAAUGGAGAUAGGUUGUUGAUAGAUGUGAAAUUUUGUUUUUUGUCUUUUUUUUUUCUGAGGUUGAAGAGAAAAAUAGAGGAGUUAUGGAGUUGAUAUUAUUGUAUAAUAGUUUCCUUAUAUCUUGAAAUUGUUGGUUGCAUGAAAGGAAAGGAAAAUGAGAGUUUGAAAGAAAGAAAUUGAUAUAAUUUGUUGAACAUUUUGUAGGUUGAAAAGUAAAAUAUGUAAAUAUUUUGAUUUAUAAUAUUGAAAAGAAUUUAGAAAAAGAAAAACGAAUGGUUGUUGGACCCCACAAAAGAAAAGAAGCCCAUAACAUUAACGUUCAACAAAUCUCGUCCACACGAUGUUCCAACAGAGCAUCCGAAUCUCAUCCUAUCGCCCAUCAUUAUUUAUCGUAUCUCACAUUCACCUCAAUUAUCAAGCACAUUUAAAACCCUAAACUCUCUCUCUCUCUCUCAUAUAUAUAUAUAUAUAUAAUAACUAGGUUUUUGUUUAGACCUUCCCUUCUCAAAAAAAAAAAAAAAAAAAAAAAAACUGAGAAUAUGUACUUUCCAUCCUUUGAUUUUUAAAAUAUACAUUUUUAGUCUAUUUGAUCCCUAGAUUUUUAGAAAUGGGUUUUAAUUAAGUUAAAAUUAUUUUUCUAAUUUAAACCAAAAGUAUAAAAGCUAUUUGAUGAACUUUUUAAGAUUUUUUUUUAAAUAUAUAUAUACAAACUAUUUACUACCCAUAUAUAAAAAAAAACACUCCUUUAUGACAUAUAAUUUUUUUUUUUUACAAUUUCUCAAAUGUUUAAACCUAUUUUUAAAAACUUGGACAUUCAAAAGAUAUAUUUAAAAAUUGAAAGAUAAAAUGUAUCUUUCUUACAAAUUUAGAGUCUAAAAUGGUACGUUUUUAAAGCUUAGAAAUCUAACUUUUAUAUAGAAUUAAAAAGGUAAUUUUCUUUUUAUAUAUAUAACUAAAUAAUAAUAAUAAUUUAAUUAAAAAAAAUGUCAAAAAUAUAACAUAUGAUAAAAUAUUUAUCUUUAAAUGUAAUGAUUUUUUUUUUCUUUUGUUAUAUAGAGUGUAAAUGGUUUAUCAUUAAAAAAAAAAGGCAUAAUAAUAAUAAUGCAAGUGAGCUAAAAUUAAAAGAAAAGAAAAGAAAGAAAAAUUAAAAUAAAGAUCCCAAAAAUAUUUUGAGUUAUAAUUUUGGUCAUCAACAUCCCCUGCCUUAAUUUUCGUCAUACUUAUACUAAUGUAAAUAUUUUGAAAGUGUCCCUUUUAGAAAAGGAUUUUAAUUUUUUAAAGAAAAGUGCAAAAUUAUAAUGAGUUUAAUUAUAAUAUAUCAAAUUUAGCAAUAUUAAAAAAGAAAAACCCAUCCGUACGUACAAAUUAUUAAACGCUAAUCCCAUAAAUUUAACCCCAAAAGAAAAAGAACAAACACAUCAAAUUUCCCCUUUCACUCUCCAAGUCGAUUCAGCACAACCUUUCACUUCAUCUUCUUAUCGAAAUUCAUCGAAUCAUCAAUCGAAAUUCAUAACCAGCAGAAACAAAACAAAAAAACCACAUAGCGAUUCAUCUAAACACACACUACCAGUAAUGGAUCUCAAGAAAUUAAAUUACAAAAAGUACAAAACAGAGACAUAUAUAUGUUCAUAUUCAUGACAUCAGAUCGGAGAUUUGGAGGGGAAUGGAUUAGAGAAAAAGCGGUUAUUAAGUAAAAGAAAAAUUAGAGUAAUUAAUAAUAAUUGAUUUACGAGGAUUUAGAUUGAGAAGUAGUAAGUAGUAAGUAGUAGAGAAAGAAGAGAAAAAGAACCGUGUAUGAUGGAUUUGAUUGACUUAAUCGGAUUUGAGAGAGGAGGAGUCGAGGUCGUGGUGGCCGGCGACAUAGCUGAGAAGACCUUCGGCUGCUUUAUCAGGUGACGGAAGGGAGGUGUUGGCGAAGAGGAGAACGGCAAGGAGGAAGAGAGCAGUGGAGAGGAAGAGAGGCCAGAAGUAAGCGAGAAGGGAGAGGAAACUUGGAGCAAGGAGGAAGAGGGAGAAGAGAGUUAGGGAUAAGAUUAGGGUUACCAGAAUGUGGAAUCUGAACUUCAUUACUUUGCUUGGGAUCUCCAUGGAUGGAUCAAAUUGAAAUCAAAUCAAGAAUCAAGACGAUGAUCAACAAAACCCGAACUCAAUUUCACCUUUUUUUGUUCUUUUUUCUUUUCCCGUUCAGAGAUUCCCUGACUGAGGGUUGAGGCUAAAAUGUUAUGUUUUGUUUAGGAAAGGGAGAAAUGGGUAAUUCUCUUUUUCUUCUUUUCUUUUUUACUCUUUAUUAUAUUAUACCUUCUUUAAUAUUUUAUACCGUACUUCCAAAUUACCUUUAAUUUUAUGUCACUUGAUUAGGUAUAGUUUAGGUUACGAUCAUGUACGUACCUAUAUAUAUCUUUCUAUAUUUUUUAUUUAUCAUAUGAUAAGAAAGUGAUCAUUUAUUUAUUUUAAUAAAAAUGAAAGUUUACAUCGCAUAACGAUUCUAAAUUAAACAAUAAGUGUGUGGGGGUGGACUACAUCUUAAUAUUUUUCUAUAAAUAUUUUGAACUAUUGUACAUAAUUAGAAGUUUUUUUUAAUAUUUUUAAAGGCUAUAUAUGAAGCGAAAUUGUAAAACAUUAUAUUUAAGGAUCAUGUUUAUUACAAAAUUUAUAUUUAAUAGGCUAUUAAACUUUUUUAUUAGGAUAUAGAUCCAUGACAACUUUGAUUUUAAAAACGAUGACUGAUAAUUGAUUUGAGAGAUAUAAAUUUGAAAUUAGGUUCAAUGGAAUCCUAAAUCUUCACGUUUUGUUGAAUAGAUUAGUUUUUUGUUUUUUGUUUUUUUGUCAAAUAGAUCAAUGAUAUAUUAAAUAAAAGAAAAUCAAUAAUUAUCGAAACUUCAAAUAUUUACUAAAUAUUUUUUUGAAAUUAGAAACUAAUGGACAUAAACAACAAGUUUUAGACACGUUUUAGAGAAAUAAUAUGUAUUUGACUCGAAAUAGAAAGUUUAAAAUAACUCAUUUGACAUUUUUUAAAAUGCAAGGAUUAAGUAAACACAAAUAAAUAUAUUUAUUAAAUACAAACUUGAAAGUUAGGUUAUGGAGGAUGAAGAUCGAUAAUUUAAUAUUUAAUUAAAAAAAUAAAGUAAAAUAGUAAGUUAUAGAUAUGAUGGUUGAGAUUGAUGUAUAGCUUUUUAAAAAAGAUUUGAGUUUCAAAGUGAUGGUAGAUUUGGAGUAAAGUAAGUCAAAGGGACAGAGGAUUGAGUGAGUCCAACUAAAUUUAUAUAAUUUAAAGUAUUGAUAACAUUCUUUACAUAUAAAAAACAAAGUGGUUCAAAAUCACCUACUCACAUUUGUUGUUAUUGUAUAUUGAUGAAAUUGAAACUAUGGUUUUAUUUUAUUAAAAUAAAUCUUAAACAUGCAUGUUCGAUAAUCUAGGUAGCAUGUGCCUCUGGCACAAGAUGAUCAUAUUAAUAAAGUGAAAUGCGUGUCAAAUCAGCCAAUCGGGUAUAAUUUGUACUAACAAUAUAUUAUUAUUUAGAAAAUUUGUAGUUCAAAUUUUUUAAAAAGUAAAAAUAAACCAUCAAUAUAAUUAAUUUCCUAUCAAAUUACAUUUGAAAUAAUUAAAUAAAGGAAAAGCAAUGAAUAUAAAGAAGUAAUGUUAAAAGAUAAAAAAGAUAAUCGCAAAUUAGUUAUUCAUGAGUUUAUAGAUUAAACUCAACCGUAAUUGAUAUUAUCCUUCAUCUUAAAAAUUUAAAAGACUUAAACAAAUCCAUCAACUGGCUCAUAGUCGAUUAGUACGCCUCUAUGAGCAGUUGCUAAAUUGAUCCAUUAAUGUUGGAGCUCACCCCUCUUAAUUUGUCGUUGAAAAAAAAUACAUUAAUAAUUAAUCUUAUCCUUUUUUAAAAAAAUAAUUGAUUAUCAGGAUGUUGUAAUUAAUUAAAUAAUUAAAGGUUAAGAAAGGAGAGAUUUUGGUGUAUUUAGGACACAACGAAAUUAAUGCAUUGAAGAUGGAAUCUUUGCAUUUAAUCUAAUGUCAUGUGCCUAUAAUUCUUUUAUUCUACCUUUUACUCAUUUUAAACUCCCAUUCAUUCAAUUUAUUAGUCAUUCAAUCUUACCUAUCUAUAUUUAAUAUUCAAUAAUCUUUACCCCUUUUCCAUCCACCAAAAUUGUUCCAAUUAUUUACCUUAGUGCAAAAAUUAAAAGAAAAAAAAUUCUAUAAUAAUCAAUUGAGUUAGGCCAUUCACAUUUCUUAAAUAACUUUUAUAUUUCAAUUACAACAUUUAAUCCAAAAUCAAUCGUAAUAAUACCUAAAGAUUAAUAAAAUAAACAUAAUUAUAUAUCAAAUUUGUACGUUAAACAAUUAAUUUAAAGUUGUAGUUUUGUAUUUGCAUGUGAGUACAACAAUAUUUAAGUCAAAUUAAAUAGUAUCUUCAAUUUAAUUACCUUGAGGAGUGACAAAUUCAAAUAAUUCAAGAUAAGAUUUUGAAGAAAAGUAAAUAAAAUAAAAUAGUGGAGAGUGGAAAAUUAAAAUGAGUGGAAAUGGAAAAAAUUUCCCAUUCUUGUCUAACCCUUUUUUAUUUGAAAUGAUGGAAAUCAUAGGUCCUUCUUCCAAGUGGAAUUCUCUUUUCUUUAAAUACAAAAUUGUUUUGAAAUAUUUACAAAAAUAUUUAUGGUUUAAUUAUGAUGAAAUUGAAAAGUAUAGGAGAUGAAAAUUCAUUAAUACUAAUCAAAGUUUAAGAGUAAGAAUUGAUUUUUUUUCUUGCUUUUCUUUAUUAAUCAAAGUUUAGGAGUAAAAAUUGAUUUUUUUUUAUCCCUCACCAACAACUUGGACAAAUGUUUGUGGCCAAUCUCUUACCAUCACCUCUGUCAAUGACUACUACUGUACAAAUUCUUUUACAGUAACUUGAAUUGGUAAAAACAUUUUUAAUAUACAGAAAUUUGCAAAAAUAGCAAAAAAAUUAUGAUAACAGAGUCUAUGUUAUCUACAUUUUAUAAAUUUCAAAAAUGAUAAAUUUAAAAAGAUGUUAUUGUUAAUUACUAGUCAUAUUUGCCAAAUUUGCAAUAUGCAAAAAAGAGAUGUUAUGAACUGUUUUUUUCUAAUUUUUUUUUGUCAUCUAAUGGAGUUUUCCUCUAAUAUAUAUAACAAAACUUUUACAUAAAAACACUAUUUGAAGGUCAAACAUGUGUGAUUAUUUUAUUUUUAUUUAUUUUGAGGAGUUGAUAUCAAAAUUAUUCAAACAAAAAUAAAUCUUUUGAAAAAUAUUAAUUUUAUAGGUUGAAAUUAUAAACCGAGUAAAAACCAAGCUAACAAUUUUAAUUAGUAGAGAUUAAAAAGAAAAAUGUAGUUUAUUUAAGAAAAGAAAAGAGAAUUUGUAAACUUUGUAGACAAAAAAACUUAGAGGUAAAAGUUGAAAAUUAAGAAAAAUUGGAAGGCUACCUAAAGGGUAUAGGGUAAAGGGGGAUGAAUAAUAAUGGAGAAUUUGGUAUAUUGUUGACAUUAACCAAAGUUUUUGUUUGUUUAUGGGGGAAAAUAGCAUCUAACACAUCAUCCAUAUUUCCAAUUUCACAUCCUUUUUCCUAAAUUUAAUUAUUUCAUUUCAAAUCCCUCACCUUUUUCAAGAUUCAAACCAUUUUUCUUUUCUAAAAAAAUAUCAACCUUUUGGAAAUAUGUUUUGGUAACUAUUUUCUAUUUUUAUUGAAAACUCAACAACAUGCCCUCUUGACAUUGCUAAUUAGUUUAUCAAAACUCCAUGAGAUUGAAUUAACUUUUAAGAGGGUUUAGGGGUAAGAAAACCCGUACAAAAAAAAAUAAAAGAAAUUAUAAUGUCAAAUAAUAAAUAUCGUAACAAAUUAGUAGAUUUUAAAUAGUAUUUACUAUAGUUAAUUGGAGAUUUUUGUAAAUAUAGUAUGAAGUAGUUAUUAUAGUCCUAUUUAAUCCUCGCCUCAAAUGCCUCUUAAAACUUUAAAAUUUCUUAUUCCUUAUAGUUUCACCCCUUACACACAUGUUAGGAACUCUCGAUACAUCCUCUAUUUUUUUAAAAAAAAAUUACCUUCCAUUAAUUUCUAAAUUUAAUUUUAACUUUAAAGUCAACUUCAACACUUCAAAUUUAAAUUCUUAAGACUAAUUCAAAAUCCUAACAAUACUUCAAAUUCAAUUUCAAUACUAAAACCUAAAACUAAUUCAAAAUCUAAAUACUAAAACUAAUUAACUAAAACUAAACAAUAACUAAACCACUUACGGAUAUGCAGUGACGAAUGCUCUCUUCUUCUCGAUCUUCCUCUCGGUCACCCUCUCCCUCUCUCGGUUUUCUUUCUCUUUUUUGAUGUCCUACGAAAACGUCGAAAAUAGCACCCUAUUCCUAAUGCGAUUAGUGACACGUCGGAAAUUCCUAAACCUAUUCCCGACGUUGUUGAUGUCUUCCUCCAACACAACACUGUAGACGUCAGGAAUAGGAAUAGGUACCCAUUUCCUAAUGCACUUGACACCAGGUCGAAAGAAAUGUCAAACAGUACAAUUAAUUGUCUGCUCUCUUCCGAUGCUACACUUUCCACGUUGGGAAUAGGGGUCCAUUUUCUGACGUACCUGACACCACGUUGGAGGAACCCUAAACCAUUCUCGCUAGUUUCGACGCUCAUGUGUCUGCGUUGGGGGGAAUGUCUUCCCUCGACGUGCACCUAGAUGUAUCAUAAAACACCAGCUGCUUCUACCAACGUCAUAUUUUUCGAUGAUUUUUCCUGCAUAAAAAAACUCCCGAUUUCUUGUAGUAUUUACAAUUUAUAGACAAUAUUAGGCUGUGAAAAAUAAAUAUAAAACUACAAAAUAAAACAUACCUGCUAGUCUCAAAAUUGAUAGACUAAUAAUUAAUUUAUAUAACUCUGAAAUCUUAUUAUAUUUUGGUUCAUUUGUAAAUAUCUCAAUUAAUAGAUAUAUAACUUAAUAAUUAAUAUGAACAGAUUGAGGCCCCUUGCACACAACAUCUUACUAAGAAGGAUAUGAUCAAUAAACCACUCACAGUGAUGAAUUUAACCGUUGGAUUUGCUUAAUGACAAUUUUUCUUCUAACUAUAAACAGAAAGGGGAUAUCCAGAGUUGUCAAACCAUUCCAAAGUUUCUUUCUAAAGAGAGCUUUGCAUUUCUUAAUAAGUUUAUAUAAAUCCUAUUUUAUACAGUGAAAUUCUUCUUUCUUGCUCAUGGCGUUUCAUGUAAAAUUAUUGCACAUUAUUCUCCCCCUUUUUCUUCUUCUAUCAUCAUUAUUUUCCAUAUCUUUUCACAAUUUAAGAUCACCAACUUAAAAUAUAUAUAAAAUAAAUUAUAUUUUUUAAAAUAUAAUAAAACAAUAUGUUCUUUUUUCUUUUCCAUUUUUACAUUCUAGUAAGAAUAAACUUUGGAAGUUUUAAUAUUCAUAUCUUGUAAAGUAACAUAAUUUUGUUGCUAGCAAAUAUGAAAUCUUUUUUAUAUGAAAAAAACGGUAUCUCAUCAAUCUUAGACUUAUUAUCUCAAAUAUGUUUAAAAUCGUCAAUAAUUUUUUUAUUUCUUGAUUUAAUUUACUUUCUGGUAACAAAGAAAAACUCUUUGAAUGAAUCACAUAGUAAGACAUGACACUAAAAAUUAAAAAGCCACAAAAGAACAAAAGUUUCUCUCUCUCUUUCUGCUCCAAACAACCCCUCCAUUUCUCAACUUCUCUCCAACCUUUCCUAUAUGAAUCUUAAAAAUUAUAUUAUUCUUUUUAACUAUCUGUUAGAAUAAAAUUUAAUUUAAAAACAAAUAAAUAUAUAUAAUCAAUAAAAAUAUAUUGGACUUUUGUUUGAAGGGUAAAAAAAAAACAAAUGUAAGAAGAUAAACUAAAAGGGAACAACAAAAGAAAAAAAAAAAAAGAAGAAAAUAAUGGUUAUUUUUUUAGUAAUAUUGUUAAUAUAAUCAAAGUAAAGGUAAAAAAUAACAAAAUAGGUAAAAUACUUAGGAUUUGUAGCAAAAUGGAGUAUAGUAAAUUUUCGUCUAGUUUAUUACUAUUAUUAAUUGAAAGAUACAUAGACAAAAGAACUUGAACUUGCACUUCGUCUCUUCAAAUACCAUGAUCUAUUCGUUCACUUCUUAUGUUAUAUAUUCUAUUGAUUUUAGAGACGAUGGUGAAUUACAUAUAUACAUUACACUAUUUGAAUAAUAAAUUUUGCAAUAGCUGUAUUUUUUUUCAAAAUUGGGUAUAGAAGAAGUCCCACAUGCCUAUAUUAUGAUAAUUAAAAAAAUGGGUCCACCAAGAAAAUAUGAGAUCCUUUCUAAAAAAUUUAGGGGUAGUUAUAAAUUUAGUUAUUAGAUUUAAAAUAAUUAAGUAUAUAACAAUAUUUUUAAAAAAAUUACAAAUAUAGCAAAAUUUGUCAAUUUCUAUCGAGGAUAGACCAUGUUGUAAAUAUUGGUUUAUCACUGAUAGAUCAUACAAAGUGUAUUUGAUAGUUUUGCUAUAUUUGCAGUUUUUUUAAAAAAAAUUUGCUAUAUUCUUAAUUAUUAUUGCUGAAAUGGUUGUCCAUUCUAAUUUCCUUAAAAUUUAGAACAAGUUGCAUAAAUGACAUUUAAGCAAAAGUAAUUAUAUAUAGCAUAAAGAUAACAUACUUACCUAUAUUCCAUAUAAAUUUGGUAAGAAACUAAAAUGCUCAUGUCAAACUACUAUUUUAUAGGUUUUAUCUUGGUUUCUCAAAAUUGAAAGCUAUUAGUGAUGGUAGCCAUCGUUAAUAGUUGUCAUCAUUGAUCGUUAAUUUGAAAAAUGUGCUAGAAGUUGCUAUCAUUGAUAGCAACUAUCAAUGACUACUAAUGACUUGGUAUUUAAAAAUUUUUACUAGUUGAUUGGUCAACCUUAUUUGUUAUUUUUUAAAUAUUUUAUCCUUGCACUCUAUUUUAUAUUUAUUCUCUAAAUUUUUUCUUAAAUUAAUUGCGACCUCCGUCUCUUGAUCCACUUGUUUUAACCAAACUUGCAAAAAAGUUUGAAUUAGCAUAAAACAAAUUAAACCUUGAUCAUUGCAUUUUCCAUUUUGAAUACCAUUGGACUUGAGAAGGUGUCAUAAGUAUUGAUUAGAGUUCAACAACAAAUGUAGUGUGAAUUGUGAUUUCUUUUAGCUUAAAGUAGAACUACUAAUGGUGAUUUGGUUUUUAAGUAUCUAUUGAAGUGCAAAGGGAGUUGUAAAGAGUAAAUCAUUGAAAAUUAUGUAGUAACGUUUCAUCUUUCUUUGUGACAUACACUAAGGCCAACUUGUUUACAAAAAUUUUGACAUAUUUUGUUCAUUGUCAAUGGACUCUAUGACAAUUUUCUAAUUAGAUAAACACAGUUUACAAAGUCUUAAAGACAUAUGUAAUGUUGGAGAAGGCAGGAGAACAAGUAGCAUUGAUGAGGGUGGUUAAAAUUUGGUCUUAAUAAGCCUCUGCAUAUACUAUGAUAAUUAAGCUUCUCUUAGGAUAGAAAAAUAUUGGUUUCGCUAGAUGAAGGCUGAGAGUUUGAAGUUGAGUACGAGUGGUCUCGUCAAUAUGACCAUAAAAAGGCCCUAGCCAUUUAAGAUCGUAUAAAUUCAACAUUUCCAUUAAACAUAGCUUAUUGAAUCAAGGUGAACAAGGGACAAAUUAUGAGACAAAUUACGUAUAAUAGAAAGAAGAGAGUGUGAAGUAGAGGAGUUUGAGUGUGUUGAGAGAGAUGAGGGUAACACCAUCUAAGUCAGAGAGCAAAAAAAAAGUCGAGUGUUAAUUUACUCCAAUACCAAGAGAAAGUUCAAACUAUGGAAAAUUCAUUACUUUGUGUUUCAAUGAUCAAUUAACAAGAUAGAAUACCCAUUUACAUCUAGGCAUGAAAGUUAAAAAAAGGAGAUUUGAAGAAGAUAAUUAUUAUAUAUAUAAAUUAUAAAAUGCAGUAGCUAUAACAAAAAAUGGAUAACUAAUUUGAAAUACCUCAAUUUUCACGUAUUGUUAGAUUUAUUUAUUAUUUAUUAGAUUAAAACUAAUUGAAAGGAUAUAUGUGUAAUGUUAAAUAUAAUUCAAGUUUCAUUCAGUCAUCCAUAAAUGGUAAAUUUUUGUAAAAAUGAACAAUUGUAAAAAGAAAAAUAUUGAAGCGGAUUCCAAUAACACCAAAUUAAGUGUUAAAUCAAAUCAAAACAAAAACAGAUUAAAUAGCAGAAAGAGAGAUCGUGUCUAAACUAAAAAUACAACUCAUCCUCAAAAUUCCUGAUUCACACAAAGGUAUGUUGAGUGAUUCAACUCACCAGUUUUCUAAUAUGUUAAAGUGGAAAUAAACGGUUUCAACGGUUAGCUUUCCGCCACGUCAUAAACACACAAGCCCUCAUCGUCCAAAUGUCAUACAAAAAUGGCCUAUGUUGUGUGGGCCCUGCGAUCCUCGAGGAACAAACGAAUUUCAGAUCCAAGCCGUCCAAUAUUCCGAUGCCAUUUAAAUUCCAUCCCAUCCGUCCAUUUCCUCUUUCACACACAAAAAAUAACUUACACGUCAGCUGAUAAAAGUUUCCGACGUGGCAUUAAACUGCUUGUAAAUUCCGAAGUUGAGGUCCGAAGUAUAAAUAAUCAAAGAAGGAGACUUCGGUUAUUUUAUUUCGAAAAAAAAUAAAAAAUCCAAAUACGAAGCGAAACCGAAAAAAACCAAAAAUAAUUGUCUACGGAGCUGAGAGAGAGAGAGAGAGAGCGACAGUGAGACAGUAGAACUCCGACGACUUUCUCUGUUCGAUGCUUCAAUCCAUUACAGAAGCUUUGAAAUUUAGUAAGUUUCAGCUUCUCACGCAUGUACUCUUCUCUUUUAGGGCUUUUGUGUUGCUUCAAACUUCUCAAUUUUAAGGGUUUCCUGCUGUAAAAUGUUCUGGAUUUCUAGGAUUAGGGUUUCAGGUGUUCCUGUGCUUAUAUUGUAUUUUCUUUUUGGAUUUUGAGUGAUUUAAGUCUCCGUAGCUGUUUUUUUUGUCUGUGGCUUUCAGCUCUAAGCCUGAAUUCUUUGUGUCGAUUUUGUUUUACUUUUGUGGAAUGAAUGUCAUGCAUGAUGCAUCCUUAUGUACUCCACACUGUUGGAAUUUCUUAUUUGAAUUGAAGAUAGCAGUGAUGCUUUUGCUGCUUAUGGUCUUUUUUUUUUUUUUCGUCUAGUGUAACUACUGUGCGUUAUUGUCUUUUUGUUGGUUCGAGUUUGUGUCACUGUCUUUUUUUAAUUUUCUGUGUAUUUCCGAACAAUUUCAAAUGCUAUUAGAUUUGAUCAUUUGAACUGAUUCUUUUAGUACUUAUGUUCAGAUUUGAAGUGAAUUAUUUGUUAUGAUUUAGUUAAAAUUGUAUGGAAUCAAAGAUGGAUCCGGAUCUUGUAUUCAUUCACAAAUUUAUUUAGGUUCUAUUACCAAUGGGGUGUUCUCAAAGCUUAGGAAUUUGGUGGGAAUCAGUCUUUUAGUCCAUAUCUUUUACUUUUUUUUAAAAAAAUAUAUCUUUGAUUGGAGAUUUUGAAUAUGAGAACAUUGAAAAUAUGUAAUUUCUAUUUUCAAACUUUUCACGUCUUAAAUCACAGAAUACCAAUACAAUGACUAUAUUGUCUGUCAUAAGUAAACCUUCUAAAUAUGAAUUCAUUGAAUUCAAGUGAACUUAAGAGCAUGAAAUUGAAUCUGGUUCGGAUACCAAACAAACGUUUCAUGGUUUGCCUAUACCUUACAAGUCAUCCUUAAACCACACUUUAUCUCCACAUGUAAACCCAUCGUUGGCUUAUUCUGAUAUGAAUACCAGAUAGAGAAUGUGCCACAUUGCCAUUAUGAUAACAACUUGUAAUGAUACCCAUGGUUUAUGAGAUUCAAUUCAAUUGUAGAGGUCAAAUUGGAACAAAAAACAUUUCAUCCAGAAAAAAAAAAGAAAAAAGAAAAAAAACAAGAAGAAGAAACCUAAAAGCGCCCCUAACUUUUAAAAAUAGUAGGGAUCAAUUUACACUUAAACCAAUUUUAUUCCACAAUAGUUUAAUUGAAUUCACUUAAAAUGGAAUAUAAUGUUCAUUCCACAAUAGACCUACCCUUUUGUACUUCUGUUUGGAGAAUUAUUAUAAAGAGCUGGGUGUCCUCAAGAGCAAUAGCAUUAGUUCCAACAAACUGGAAAUGUAUUUCAGUUUCACUUUCCAUAGUACAUUUUCUUCGACAUGAUAUUUGCCUUUUCUUGUUUAGCAUUCAUAUUGAAUGGUAAUAUAUUUCUAUAUCUUUUGUCAUUUAUUCAUGUGAGUAGGUGAGGAUGUGCACGUGAAGAGACUGGCUUUCUAUAGAUUUAAAUUUGAGCUAAAUUGAUCAUGGGUGCAGAAGACACAGCAAAAAUUACUGUUGAAAAUACAAAAGAUGAAGCCAAAGGAGAAGAUUUAAAAACAAAUACAGUUGAGACUGUGACUGUGGAAAAUGGAAACAGUAAAGAAGAUAAAAUGAAAAACAGUGUUGAAACCGUGGAAAAUGGAACAAAUGAAGAUGACAAAAUGAAAAAUACCAUUGAGACUGUGACAAAUGGAACCAAUGAACUGGAGAAAAUCAACGAGAUUGUGCCUAAGGGGGAGGAAAAUGGAGUGAAAGAAACAGAAAUUGAGAAGGGUGUUGUUGAGGCAGAGGUCACGAAAAUGGGAGAAGAACCUAAAAUCAAGGAAGAUAAGGAAAGCAAUGCAGAAAACGUGAAGGAUGAAAAGGAGGAAGCUAAAAUUCAGGCAAUGGACGAAGAUGCGAAUCCAAAUGCUAAGAACGAUGAACAAAAUGUGGAUAUCAAAGAUGCAGACAGUGUAGAUGUCAAAGAUGACAAGAAUGAGAUUGCCAAAGAUGGAGAAAUUGAGGGUGCCAAAGAUGAAGAAAUGGAGGAUGCCAAAGAUGAAGAAAUGGAGGAUGCCAAAGAUGAAGUAACUGAGAGUGGCAAAGAUGAAGUAACUGAGGAUGCCAAAGAUGAAGUAACUGAGGAUGCCAAAGAUGAAGUAACUGAGGAUGCCAAAGAUGAAGUAACUGAGGAUGCCAAAGAUGAAGUAACUGAGGAUGCCAAAGAUGAAGGAACUGAGGAUGCCAAAGAUGAAGUAACUGAGGAUGCCAAAGAUGAAGGAACUGAGGAUGCCAAAGAUGAAGGAACUGAGGAUGCCAAAGAUGUAAUUGAUGAUGCCAAAGAUGGGGUAGAGAAGGUUGACAGCCAUAUGGAAGAGGAUGACAAGGAAAUGAAGGAUAAAGAUCCCAACGAAGAAAAAACAAAAAAAGGAAGAAGGAGAAAGGGUGCUAUUAAAUCAAAAGGAAACAAAGAAGAGGAUGAAAAGGAGGAGGCAGAGAUCAGGACUCCCAUUGUUGAUCGCCCUGUACGUGAGCGUAAAUCAGUUGAAAGGUUGGUGGCAUCUAUAGAAAGAUAUGCUGUGAAGGAAUUCCAUAUCGAGAAGGUAUUAUAUAUGCAUAUUUCUUUUCUAGACUGUUUAGUGUGCUUUCUAGGUAUUUGAGUCUACUUCUUUUUGUUGGAAACUGCAGGGUCGUGGUACUCCACUUAAAGAUAUACCCAAUGGUAUGUGCAAUUGGAAACCAUCUUCCACUUUGUUGUUGUGCUUCCCAUUUUGCUUUAUAUAAUUUCUCCAACAUGUUUAUGAUGGUCUAUUGUUUAUUUUGGUUUGGCAUUCCCUUUAUUUGUUGCUCAGAUUUCUUUUAAGAAUAAUUGUUAAGUCACCAUCUUUAGCAGAUCCAUUAUUUUUUCCUUUUUAUCAACCUAAAGAGAAAGGUUAUCUUUCUAAAUGUAUGAGGACAGUUUCUUUUCCCCUUAUUCAUUUUUUUUAGAUAUUUUUAUGCGUUAGAUUGUUUUCUGAAAUUACAACUGAAGUUAUGAGGCAGUGCAAACUACAAAAAUGUUCUGUUUCAAGUCACAAUUUGUCUUGCUUCUUGCAUAUGCUACUUAUUUACUGAUAGAUGAAUAACGAAUAAUAUAUAUACGUUAAUGCACUCUGAGAAAGAAGCCCUUUUGUUUUAGUGGCAUUCAAAUUAUCAAGGAAGAAGACAGAUGACAUCUUCAGGCUGCUUCAUACAAUUCUAUUUGGAAGGAGAGGAAAGGUAACUAAUGAUUUAGUGGUUUUCUCAUAGGUUAAUCAUCUAGUUCCAUGGUGAGUAAUUCCUGAAGGUACACAUGCAUGCUAUGAGCAGUACCAUUUGGUGUUUCUGAUGUUCUGGUUUACAACUUCUCAGUGAUGUACUUUAGGCGUACUUGCAUCUAAAUCUAUGUGACUUCCUUCUUUCCUACCUUUCCUCCAGGCAUUUCAGAUUAAGAGCAACAUAUCCAGGUUUUCAGGUUUUGUGUGGCAUGGAGAUGAGGUAAAAAAAUUGUAUGUGCUACCAGUAUGAAAUAUUUUUUUUAACUAGGAGCCAUCAGUAAUUAUCAGGAUUAGAAGUUUCAGUUUCUCAUUUUUUUUGUUUUCGUAAAAUAAGAUUUCUCAGGAAUUUUUUGUUGAUACAAAUUACAUCAUCUUUGCAGGAGAAACAAAAGAAUAAAAUCAAAGAAAAAUUUGACAAAUGUAAUAAAGAGAAAUUAUUGGAAUUUUGUGAUGUGCUAGAUAUUCCUGUUGUGAAGGCCACCACAAGGAAGGUAUGUCCAAUUAUCUUUGUUGCUGUACUUGCAUCCCAAGGGCUAGUCUGCAUUUGGGAUGGUUUUCUUCUGUACGAUGUUCGUAGAUAGUAUUGAGUGAAAAUUUCAAAUCUAAUAAGUCCUCAAAUCGUAAUAUUCAAACAUGAACAGUUUUUAAAUUUUGCAUCCUAAAAAUGAGGAUUUAAUUCAAAUGGGAUCCAUUGUUUUCUAAUAUCAUCUGCAGUCAUCACUUAUUGUUCAUAUACGGAACGUUUGUUCCAUAAUUAGCCUCGGUUAUUUAUUGAGUAGUCUAGGAAUUUCUUUCUAUUGGACCCAUGCUGUAAAGUGUAAAAGAAUCUUUCAGGAAAAGUGAUUUAGUGGGAGUGGUUUAGGUUAUGGUUCAAAGUUUGACAAUCACCAACCUUUUUUUUCUUCUCUUUUUCUUAAACCUUGCCGGUUACUAAGAUACUUGUAUGCCAAUUGAGUUGGGGGGGGGGUUAUACCAGGUCCUAGGAUCUGUAAGUUCAUUAUUCAACUAUUCACUAUACUUGGGCAUUAUGGCCUUUUGUAAUUAUCUGUUAGUUCUUAUCAUCUUAAAAUGGGGGUUUUAUUAUUUUUUAAAGGUUUAAUUGGGGUAUAGUUUGGGGUUGUUUUCUUAUUAAAAGACUAUUCACGUCUAUAAUUUCUUUAAUGACAACUGACAAGAACAACUUUGUUUUAUUAAGCAUGAGGCCAUCCAUGAAAAAAAUUGAAGAAAAAGAAAUUGAUCCAACUUUUACAGCUGACCAAUAAUGCUUUUAUUGAUUUAGUUUAAAAACAUUGCACAUUAACUCACUAAUUUAAAACUGUAGACUAAUGAAUAAACUCUAGAAUAAAUUAAAGUAAAUGAUUUCUUGUGUCAUUGCUAGAUGGAAAGAUUUUGUUGGCAUUGUUCUUAUAAAUGGUAUUUGGGGAAGGGAAUGUUGGGGAGAUUUUUAACAUUGAAACUCAGAAGGUCUUGUUUUCUUUUUCAAACAUAGAAUGCAUGUAUAGAAUAUAUUUUUUCCAUUGCAUAAGUUUGAUGUUAAUUUUUUAACUUGUUUCAGGAAGAUAUUAUUGGCAAGCUCAUAGAAUUUUUAAUAGCUCCUCAUUCUACAACUACUGUCCUCCUUGCUGAAAAAGAAAAGGUUUCACCCCUCCUGGUUGCAAAAGAACUUAAUCUUCGCAAUUGAAUGCUUCCUUUAUAUUUACUCAAGUCUGGAUCUAGUUCUUUAAUUUUCCUGUGGUUAAUCGCAGUCGAGCAAGGGUAAAAAGCGUAAACGAGCAGUGAAAGGAGGAAUAUCAACUCCUGGAGACAGUGGCUCAAAAAGUUCAGCAAAGGUGGCAUUCUUAUCUCUCUAAGAGUGCAGUUGGUGAAUUAUUUCUUGGCCUUGUUUAUACCAAAUUCCAAUCACACCUGCUCUGUCCAUUUCUGGAUCUAGGUUUUGUUUUAACACUUUCCUGUUAUGCCUUUGUCUUCCAUAGAAGGUAGAUAUAUCAAGUUCAGGUUAAUUGAUGGUGCAUUUUGUUUUUAUGAUGCUUGAGGAAAUUGUGAGUUAUGUUGGCUUCAUGAAAGGAUAUUUUCUUGUUCUUUUUUUUAUUGUUUUCCUAAAAGAAAACUAUUUGUUUUGGUCAGUGUCCUCGCAUUCCAAUAUUUAUGAAAAUUGUUGCCGUUAUGAAUUCUUAGGUCUCACUCUUCUAGAUUGGGGAUCCCUUUGUUAUGGAGUUUUUAAAUUAUUAUUAUUAUUUAUUAUUUAAUAUUUUCUUGGUGGUGGCGUUUUAAUGCCAUGGGACUUGUGAGUGAUGUAGAAUGUGUUGUGUGCGUGAAUGUGGGUCUCAUUUUGUAUUAGCAAACACAAUAAAGUCCUUUAGAUGCUUAUUGUUUCUAAACCAAAUAGAUGUCUGUUUAGGGAAGGGCAUACAAUAGGUCUUUAAGAGAGUACCUUUGACUGCCUCUGAGGAAAGACGGGAGAAUACUUGCCUCCUCGCACAGUGCUUGGAGUUCUGUCUUUUCUUAUCUAGUUUAUAUUGAUAAAAGAGGCCUCUCGACCUUUCUUUACUGACCACAACUCUAAAUCUUUAGUUUGGGAUAGUUGAUCUAGUAGUAAAAGAUUUCUGAUAGCUUAACUACGUUAUUUUAUUUCUGGGUUGACUCUAGAGUUGUAGAAAAAGGGGGAAUAGUGCAAGAUCUGAGAUGACAAAAGAUUCAAGCGAUGAAGAUGAUGAGUCAGAAGAAGAGAAGGAAGCAGAAGAAGAGAAGGAAGCAGAAGAAGAGAAGGAUGCAGAAGAAGACAAUGACAAGGAGAAUGAGAAUGAGAAUGGAACCACAGAAAAAUCUGAUGAUGAAGUGUCAGAGCAGCCAGAAAGUGAAGAUAUCAAUGACCCAACUGAUGAAUCUGAGGAAGAAAGACCCAGAUCAAGUACAAAAAGUUCAUCAAAAAGGAAACGAUCUGUGGGAAAAGCAAGAAGCAAGAAAGUUGCAGGUUCCAAUAAAUCUGAAUCAGCAAAAUCUUCAGCAAAGAAGUCAUCAGCAAGUCGUGCUAAGGUUGAUGAUAAUGAUGCUAGUCCAAAGGUAUUCUCUAGGAAGAAGAAUAGUGAGAAAGAGAGCAAGGCCUCUACACCAACAAAAUCUGCUAACAAGGAGAAACCUGGUAUCUUUCAUGUCUCAUUGCCUCUUCUUUUCUUUUUAUUUUGUUCCAUUUUUUGCCUGGGAUAUAUAAAUAAAAAAAAAUUGUUGCUUUUCAUUAUUAUUCUUCUGAAAUCCAAUUUUUUUUGUAUUAUAUAAUCUGUUUGGGACCCUAAAGAGAUUAUGGAGACUGCGAUCUACACUGCAUUAUUUAUUUAUACCCAUGGUCUAUGUUUUAGGGAAAAAGGUUGUGAAAGGGAAAGAUAAUAAGACCAAGGAGGAGAAAACAAGGCCAAGUGAUGAUGAGCUCAGGGAAGCAAUAUGUGAAAUUCUUAAAGUAGUUGACUUUACGACGGUAAGUAUCAAAUUUAUCCAUACCAAUCAACUAAGUUUAGCUGGCAAUCUCAUUUCUAUACUUGAUAGUUGUAAAUCUGCAUGGUUUUCUGGCUAUUGGAUUUCAUUCAUUCGCUUCUAUCGGUUAUAGAACUGCUAUCAUAUGUUUUCAAGUUUUAACAGUCACUUCAUCUCUUCUCAAGUGGAUGGUUGACGGUUGGGAUUAAAUAUAUGCAUAUCUGAGCUUUUAGAUUCUUUCUUCUGUUAAUGCCAACUGAUGAUAACUUUUAACAGUCGUAGUAGAGUACAUGCAUAUUCACUGGUUUGUAUUUAGUGUUCUGCAAUAAGCAGCACCAAAAGGCCUAAUGAUGCUUCCAAAAUGUGGUUGAUAAGGCAACAGUUGUUCUUGACAUUAGAUGAAUAGCCUAAUGUUUGGAGAAAGACAAGAAAAUGAGUUAGGGAUUGAAUACACAAUAGUUUCUAUAUGUUGGAAAAUGGCCUUCAUCUUACCUUAGGGACUAUUUGGCCUGCUUACUUCUUAAGUUGGUGUAAACAACUCAACUUCAGUAGUGUUACUAUUGAACUUGCAGUAUCAAGUAACUCAAUCUUCUCUUAUUUAUUUAUUUAUUAUUGUUUUUUCACAUUUAUCAAGGAAUUCAAUCUUUCCUUCCAUCUUGACUUUUCACAUUUACGAAAUAACUCCAUCUUAUUUUUUUAAUUUACUUUUUGCAAUUAUUGAGGAACUCAAUCUUUACAACUCUACACCUUAAACACAAACUUACUAACUCCAACAUAUUAACCCAUGGCUUAUUAUCUCCACCUAGUGGGCCAAAACCCCACCCCCAUAGUUUUUGUAACCCUGUUGAAAAAUAUUACAUUUCAUGCUUGCUUUGAAUGGCAGUGUCGGUCAAUUACCUUUUGCAAUUGCCAAAUGACUCGUUUGUUAUUUGUAUAAUGCAGGCCACCUUCACGGACAUUCUGAAGCAGCUUGGUACGUUUCUUACCUAUUAGCAUAUUUUGUGGUUUGUUGAGUUUACAAUUUACAUGUGCUGCUUUUCAUCCUCACGGGAGGUCUCGAUUGUUUAGCUUCUUGUUUGCCACCAAUUGAGAUAUCUAACAAUAAAUAGUACAAAUAAUUGGACUUUCUCUAGAGAAUCUCAAUAAAUCUGUUUGGUUUUGAAUUAUGUUUUGGAGAGUCGUUCUAAACUAAUACAUUUUUCUGAAAGAAAGCGAAAUGCAUUAAUUUUUAACACAGUAGCAUUUUUUUUGUUAAAAAAACAAUUCAUUUGAAGGAUGCUGAAAACCAUUUCCAACCACAUCCUACAACAAAAAUGGUAGCUCUAAUCUGCUUUUGGUAUCUCAGCUCGGCAAUUCAAGAUGGAUCUCACCACACAAAAGUCAUCGAUAAAACUCAUGAUCCAAGAAGAGCUGACAAAACUGGCAGACGAAGCAGAAGACGAAGAAGACGGAGGCGAUGCUGAGAAGGAUGGUAAACAGGGAGCAUCAGGUAAAGAGGUGGAAACUUGAGUCCAAGAGUGUUGGCCCUGGGAUUUGUCUAACAAUAUAUUGAAAAAUCCGUCAAAAAAUGAGUCAUGUUGUAAAGGUGGAUGUAAUUUAUUUGUUUUUAUGAUAAUCAUGUUUACUGCUAAUGAAAAGGUUAGUGUUUUUAUUAGAAAACAAGGUUAGUUGUUACUUUAUAUAGGUGUUGCAAAUAUUGCACCUUCUUUUUAUACUGACAUAUAAAAUCUGUUGGGAAUAAUAAUUCCAUGAAUAUAUAUACUGACCAUUAAGGAAGUGGAAGUGGAAGUGGAAGUGGAAGUGGAAGUGGAAGUGGAAGUGGAAGGGGUUGCUUAGCCUUCAGGUGGUUUUAGGCCUUGUAAAAUUAUUCCCUAUUUUCAUCUUUUUGGCUUUGCCAUGUUUUUAAAUGCUCUUCACUUCACUUUCUUGUUUUGCCCAUCUUUGUCCUCUUCAACACAUCUUCUUUCUUCAUUAUUUGAUUAGAGAGAUUGACUAUUGAUUUUCAAAAUCUACUUCACUAUUUUAUUCUUGAGUUUUGGCUUUGAUAGUACUUUUGUUUCUUCUAUGAGAAUGAAUACAGUUUGAGUUUUUUUUGUUGGUGCUAAUUAACACAAUCAUUUGGACUUGGUUUUAAAAAUAUACGUUUAAAUUUUUUUUGCUCAUCUUAUUUUACUUUGGUUUCGAAUUUUCAAGUUUUAACAGAUUGAUGAGAUUGCUUUGUUAACUUUUUGAAGGAUUGCAUUUAUAUUUGGAGGACUAAUUUAGGGUAUUCAUUUUUAAUCGAUUGGAGAACUUAAAAACUUAGUUGUGUUCAAGAUUUUGAUUGUCACUCUUUUGUGCACUAUCAAUGGAUAUUAUUUUUUAAAUAAAAAGAUUUUAGCAUCUCAAAGUUUGAGAUAUUUUGUUUUGAAGUGCUUUUUUAGGGCAUGUUAUUUAUUAUAAGAAUAUUUAUUUUAAAUUUUGUAAAGUUUAUUUUGUUUAUGUAAUGUACUUAUUUUGUUUCUCUCAUUUUGUUUUUAUCUAGCUAUAGGUGUUGCGUUUUAUUUUACUUUUAUGACAUUUGCUUUAAGAUUUUUUUCAAUAUUGCACUUACAACAAAAAAUUAUAAAAAUAGAUAUAAUUUCUUUCGCACGUAAUGCAUCAAUAAAUUUAUUGACACGAAAAACUUGCAUACAAAACGUUCAAAAUCAAUAUUGUAUUUACAAAAACUAAUGGAACCUAUUUUUGAUAAAAAUUUCAAAUUUUGGUAAAUUAAAAAUACGAACAUUUGUGUAUUUGACCUAUCAUAUGAAAUAUUCUUUUUAAAAAAUACAAGAGUACGUUUUUUUUUGAAAAAAAAAUCAAUAUUGCACUUACAACAUCAAUUUUAAAUAAAUAUAUAUAAUUUCUUUAGCACGUAACAUAUCAAUUAAUUUAUUGACCUGAAAAACUUGCAUACAAAAUGUUUAAAAUUGACAUUGUAUUUACGAAAACUUAGGGAACUUAUUUUUUUAAUUAAAAUUUCAAAUUUUGGCAAAUUAAAAAUAUGAAUAUUUGUUUAUUUGACUUACAAUACGAUUUUUUUUAAAAGAAAAAUACAAGAGUACAAAUCUUUUUCAAAUAAUAAUGAUUUUUUUCAUAAUCAUUUCCACCUAUUCCUUUCCCCAAAGAAGAACUAUCUCAAUCUCCCAUAUUUCUCGUAAGUAUUUUUUUUUCCAAAUAAGGAUUAUAAUAAUCAUUUCUUUUUCAUAAUUCUCAUUUUUCAUAUUCUUUUCCUCCUUAUUCCUUUCCUUCCUCCAAACACUCCCUAAGUACAUAAAACGUCAUAUUGCAUUUUGGGCCUAAUUUUUAGAUUAUGAUCGAGUACAAAUUUCCAUUGGUUCUUCCUUAAAUAUUAUGAUAUAACAAUAUUGGCUUAAAUAAAAUACUUUAUCAAUUUGAACAUGUUUGAAUGUACAAAUAACCAAAUACCAAAUCCCUCCACUCUUAUUAUACUUAAAAAAAAGUGUUAUAAAUAAGUUUGACACCACAAAAUAGGACAAAAAAUGUCGUCAAAAGACGGGUAAAAAUGAGUUUAAAAUAGAGUAGAGCUAACAAAUCGAUUAACUAAUCAAAACAUGCUCAAGGUUAGAAAAAACCACAUCCUAAUCUUCUAAAACUUCAACAUUCUUUCCCUCUUUAACUUAAAGAUGUCGAUGUAUGAAAUAAGAUCCUUCCUUUCAUCGACAAAAAAACAAAAAAAAAUCUCUACCAUUAUUGUGAAAUUACACUUUUUCUACAACUUACAUGAAUUUUGGAAUCAAACAUAAUGCAUUAUGUAUUGUUAUUAGUUGUUUUAGAUAGUAUUUUGUAAAAUAUAAAAGUAUAAAUAAGAUAAAAGAUAAACAUGUCCACUUAAAAGUAAUGGAGCACUUGAUUUCUAGUGACCAAUUAAAGGGAAGAAAAGCAAUAGUUAUUCAAAGUGGUGGGGAUCUAAGCAUAUAUGAUAUCAUUAUAUAUAAUAUAUAUACACACACACGCAUGACUUUCUUCAUCAUAUUUCAUAAUUAACAUUUUACAACUUUCCAAAUCUAUUCAACAACAAUGAUUAAUAAAAGAAAAAAUAAUUGCCUAUACAAAUCACAACAAUAUUAUAAUACCACCAAACAUGACCUAUUUUCAAAUGUAGCCAAAUGAAUAAAGUAGGUAGUUGUUUUUUCUUUUUUGUUAUAUUUUAAAGGAGGAGAACAAAUCUGCUCAAGUUUUAGCAUAUUUGACAUUUCUUCGUGGGGUGUUCUUUGAUCUAGAAAUAUGUUUUUCUAUAUAACAUUCUCUCACUCUUUUCAAUAAGGAGACGAAGAAGCUUGGUUGAAUGAUGUUAUUUUGUUUCUUUUCUUUUUUAAAAAAUAUACUAAAUUCAUCUCGUUAUAAUAUGAAAUCUAAAUUGAGGUAGACGAGUUAUUGACUAUAAUAUCUUAAUUAAAAGUCUACUUUGGUAGUGCCCUCAAUGUUGAGGACACUACACAUAACAACUCAUUCCACUUCCGCUUCCACUUCCGCUCCCAACUAAAGUAUGUAUAAUGUCCAUUUUCCAUAAUUCAUAAGUCAUAGUUUAUAUAAAAUAAAUUGUCCAUUUUAUAUUCGAAUUUCCUAUCUAUAACCCAUAAAUAGAAUUGUGAGGGUAGAGUUUUUUUUUUUUAUAAUCUCUUUUUAGUGAAUUUCGAAUUUUGAUCUUUAAUGGUAGAUGCAAUUCUUCAAAUCUAUCUAUGAUAUAUCAAGUAAAGUUGAAAAAAAGCUAGUUAUGCCCUACAAGACACGAAGAUCUGUUGGAGAUGAUUUAUACAUAAAUUGGUACAAUCAUCUUAGAUGUUUGUAAAAAAAAAAAAGUAAAUAUCUACAAUUUAUAAAAUUCUUUGUAGGUAUACGUUAAGAAAGAUUGAAUAGGUGUAAUUGUUACAAGGGCUAGUCAAAGUAGAAGUAUUUUAGGGUGUCAUUUGAAUAGGUAUUAUUUGAACAAUUUUCAUCUUUUUAUUGAUCACGAGUACAACUAAUUAUUUUGUAAGACAUCCCUUCUCAUGAAUGCUUUUAUUUUGUGUGUAAGCUAAUGUAUUGAAUUGCAUAAAAUAAAUAUAUAUCAUCUCACAAUCCAAGGUCAGAGCACAAUCAAGCACACAUAUAACCAAAGAAAAUAAGAGAACAACAAGAACGAACAAACAAAGAAACUAAAUACAUAAGAAAGACGUACACAACCUAAGUAAAAAGAUUUCAAGGAGGUCUCAACCUACUUUGGUCCUCUCGAUAGAAGUCUUGAGCCGCUAAAAAGACAACAAAGAAAAAUCACAUGAUGUCUUGUAAUAUGACCUUCAAACCAAAGAAGGUUACACCGAGUCACCAUGAGAUGCCUAAGGCACAAGGACUCUCAAGCGAUAGGGAGUCAAAUCACAUGAUCCACCCUUCUAUUGAUUAUACCUUUUCAAAAAAAUUUAACAAGCUCUUUAGAGCUAGAAAACCAAUUUCAAUUUCUAUUGAGAAAAUCACUAACCUACGUGAAUGAAAUUGAUCAAAUCCAAUAUAACAACAAUUCUAAUUAAACAACUGUCGAUUAUGCCCUCUUUCUAACCAAGGGUUCAAAAAUCAUCUUAAGAUGGAAUGAUGUAUCAUCAACACCAAGACAAAGAACUUGAGGCACUAAUCCCCCAAACACUCUCGUUGUGCUAUCUAUGGGGCUUGACCUUUGUGAGCUAUAAGGAUCUAGAACAAAUUAAUUUCGAACUCAUAACAUCUUCAUGAAUAGCUACAAUAUUACAAGAAGGAAUAUGACAGAUACACAUGCCACACCUACAUUACAGAUGACAAACAUUCAACUGAACAACGUUUGUCUUUUCAAUACUCUACAUCUUUUCUUUUUAGAGAUAAAGUGACAUAGAUAAUUUGAGUAUUCAAUAACAUUUUUUGGGUAAAACAAACACACUCGCUAUAUAAAUUUGAAAGCUCUAAAAUACAAAAUAAAUAAGUUAUAAUCUACAACAUCAUUCAAAGCUCUAGCUAUGACUAAUUCCUCACAUAGUAAUAACCAUUUCUAGUAGAGGGUCAAUUGUCAGUGUAUGAUAGUUUGUCCAAGAUAAAAAGCAAGCCAAAAUACCUUGUAGUGAGAGAAGCCAACGAAAAAUUCAUGAACAAUGAAAGCCUUUCAAACUUAUCUAGAGCAAUCCUAACACAAAACAACAAACUUUUUCCAUGAUUAGCAAUAAUAAGGUCAAAUAAUCGUUGAAAUUGACUUAAACCUAUAUGUAUAAAAGAGAGGGAAGCAUAGUCCCCAACACUAAAAAUUUAUUAAGUUAUCAAUAAAAGAAAGGUGAAUGAGCUAGACCUAAUGAUAACUAAAGGUGUGCAUGGUUCGGUUUAGUCUAAUUUUGAUCAAAAUCGACAACUGAAUUGAACUUAACAAUUUUGAAAUGUUUUAAGUGAAGAAUUGAAGUAGAAACCUUCCAAACGCCAUCAAGUAAGCAAUGAAGAAGAUGUCAACAAAAGAAGAAAAGCGAGGUGAGUGAGGGAGUGAUGAAUUAAUUCAUAGAGGUUGCAAAAUUAAGUUGCAAUGGAGAAAGAAAGAUGAAAUGGAGGCGUGGAGUGAGAGAGGUGAUGGCCAAAACUUUGAUAUUAUACAAGAACAUGUCAAAUUAUAAGACGGUAAAACGGUCAAAGACAGAAUAUCGUUCUCUGGAUAUUAGAUGCUCAAAUUUAACCUAACUACUCUCAAAUCCUUUGCCUUUUAUUUUGAACUAAAGAAAACAAAAAAAAUAUAGAAUGAAAUAUGUGUAAAAAAAUAUGUUUUAACUGUAAAAACUAUUAUCCCAAUUAUGUUAUUCAAGAACCAUAUAUUCUCACACAAUCCUAAUUAAUCCUCAAAAUCACUAAAAAGUUGAAACCAAAUUACGAAAAAUGACAAAAAGAAGAGAAAUAACCAAUAGUGGUACUCUACUUUAAUUAUUAACCUAACUAUAUUUGUAAGAUUGAGUAAAAUAUAUUUUGAUUUCCUUUCCUUUCAUAUUUUGUUCUAUAGUUUUAACCAAUUUGGAAAAAAGUUGAGUGAUUUCAAACAACAAUAAAGUGUUAAAAUAAAUCCUACUCCAGUAUUAGUCUUUAAAUCUUUAGGUAUAUUCAAUACAUAUUUAUUACACUAAUACAUAUAAAAUUUCAUUAUGAAUAUAUAUAUAUAUAGAUAUAGAUAUAAAGUUUUGGAAUCAAAGAUUAGGUUUUGCAUUGAGAUAUUGCAUUUUAAUUUGGUUAAAUUAAAUUUUGUUGUUCAAUGAUAGCAACUUGGCAACUCUCCCAUUCCCAUCCCCUUUACAAACAUCUCUCUAUCUCUCUCUCUCUCUCACACACACACACACACACAUUUCACUUCCACAUCCCCUAAUUUCACAAACCCUAAUUCCUCUUCCCCUCUUCCAUGGCGGACUCCGACAACGACUCCGGCGGUGGUUACCAGAAAUCCCCAUCUCCACGUGAACACGACAGACUCCUCCCGAUCGCCAACGUCGGCCGGAUCAUGAAGAAAGCUCUCCCUGGCAACGCCAAGAUCUCAAAAGACGCCAAAGAAACCGUUCAAGAAUGCGUCUCCGAGUUCAUCAGCUUCGUCACCGGUGAAGCAUCCGACAAGUGCCACAACGAGAAACGAAAAACAAUCAACGGCGACGAUUUGCUCUGGGCCAUGGCUACCUUAGGGUUCGAAGACUAUGUGGAUCCUCUCAAGCUUUAUCUCCAACGGUUUCGAGAAAUUGAAGGCGAGAGGACCACGCUUGCCUCACGUGACUCCGCCUCCUCCGCCGCAAACUCCGCCGCAGCUGGGAAUAGUGGGUUUUUCGACGGCGGUGGGGAAUUUGGGGGCGCGGGUGGGAGUGGGAUGGGGAUGGGAAUGACGACGACGAUGCCUCCAAAUGUUUAUGGUUCUAAUGGGCCGCGUUGGGAUGGGCCUGGGUUUAGUACUACCGGUCGGCCCAGGUAGAUGGGCCAUAUCCGCCCAUUGGGUUUUUAUUGGGCCGAGUACUAUAACACUUCUACUACAACAUUCAUUAUGACGGCGACGGGGUAUGCGAAAUCUCCGUUUUAUCCUCCGUAAAAUGAAGAUCGGUAGCUGAGGAAAGGUCAAGUCUUUUUUUCUUUUUCCUUUUUGUUUAAUUUUAUAAAAAAAUAUAUAGUGACGUAGAUAAAUAUUAUUAUUAUUAUUAAUAAUAAUAGAGCAUGAAUUUAAUAAUGUAUUUCCAUUUUAAUAAAUAUGCAUUUGAUAAUUUUUAUAACAAUUAUAAUUAUGUUUCAGUGUUUUCUCUUUUUUGUUGGUUUAUGUUUAAUUGAUGAUUUUCUUUUAACUUUCUGUCUUUGAGACUAAUUAUAAAUUUCAUUUUCUUAACUCUAAAUUAAUGCUUACCAUUUGUUAACUUUUAGAAUUAAGUCUAAAAUUAGGCUCCCAUUGGUUUUAAUGCUAUCUAACGUCCAAUGGUUACCUAUAAAAGAUUGUAAAAUUAAAACAUAUGUUAGGCUAUUGACAUUUCAAAUGAAUGUUUGAAAUUUUGGUAAAAUAUAUAUAUGUGUAAUUGAACAGUUGUACAAAAUGUAAAGCAAACAAAAAUAUUUAAGUGCAUCAUAUACUACUUUAACUCAAUCUAAUUUAUUUGCCACUAAAAUAUAGCCUUGCUAUUCAUUCCAAAUGUUACUUUUUGAAGCAAUUCAAUUCAACUUUGCAUUUUAGACAUAAAUUAUAGUUACUCUAUGUGCAUGUAAAACUAAUGUAAUCUAGUUUGAGUUAGAGAUAUAACUUUUUAGAAUACAUGGACUAAGGUUUAGUUUGGAAUGAUUGUGAUGACAAUUGUAUAUGUUGGUAUAAGCCUAGUCUUUGGUAAUUUUUAUUUUAAAUCUAGAAUUUAAAACUAUAUUAUAAUGUUUGGUAAAUGUUUAGUUAAAAUAUUAAGAUGAGGUAAGAGUAAUUGUAUUCAUGUAAACCUUGAUCAUCUUUCAUAAGUAAAUUCAUUCAACUUUGAAUAGAUUAAUUAUUCUCAUCCUCGUACGAGAAAGAUGGUAGUAUAUUUGACUUUUAUGUGAUGAUAAAGGUAAAUUUGAAAUUUGGAAAAGAAAACUUGAAAACAAGAAAAAUGACUCUCAUGCUAAGAAAACUUUAUAGUGAAAAAGAUGAUAGAAGUUUAAGGUUACUUCAUAUGCGAAAUCUACUAUCGAAGAUAUGAGUUUUUCAUUUUAUCUUUUUCUUAUUUUUGGCUUAUUUUAAUGUAUCAUGUCCAAAUCAAAAGGAAAAAGAAAAAAACAUAAAAGUUGUAUUAAAAUUAAUAUUUGGAUUUUUUUUAUAAAAAAUGUAAUUCACUUUUUUUUUCUUUUUUGUGAUGGGUGAUUAUUUGUUGUAUCAUUGCAAUUAUUGCACCAUCUUUCUUUCUCUUUUUAAAAAGGUAAUCCAUUAUUAUACAUUCGAUGUAGGUUUUUGGGGGAGCGAAAAAAAAACAAAUGUUUAUUAGUUAUAUGAUUCACUCAUCAAUUUCAUAUAUAACUUUCAAAUUCCUUUUUAUCCAAUUUCAUAUAAAAUAAUACUUUGAAUGUGUGUUGAACGAAAAAAUUUGUAUCAAUCACGAAGUUUCACGUCAUUUAUCAUGUUAAUGGCUAAAAAUACAAAUAAUUGAAUUUAAAAUCAAAUAAAAGUUAACAUGGAUUCCAAAUUGAAAUUUGAAAUAUAAAUGAACCAAUUUUAAUGAUGUCGUGUUUUCACAAGGACAUCGUGAAGAAUGAAGUUCCAAAUUUUUUUACGAAGAUGUAAGUUUUCUUCCAAGACUUAAGGAGAUCAUAUGUUCUAUUUUCUUAAAUCAAGCAUAGACAUUUACACAAAGAGAGAAUUAGAAAGUCAAAUAAUAGAGAACGAAUCACUUCACAUCAUAAUUAACAUCAACACAAAUUCAACGACAAGAAACACGUUUCUCAAAAACGUUAUAGGACGAAUACUUGUAUGGGUAGUGUAGCCCAUGUAAGGAAGGAAGUAGUGAUUUAGAAUGAGUUAAAAAUGCAUUUAUAUAUUUAUGGAUUGAGUUGGUUUUUGAGAGAGAAUCACAUGGGCAAAGCACAAAACACCAAACAUUCCUUCAUUUAAUAUUUAAAAGAACCGACAGGUGUUCACGAGCCUCCCUUUCUUUUUUCUUUUUUCUUUUUCUUUUAUAAUAAUAAUCAAAUGUGACCGUCUCUACCAGUUUUCCUCUGCCAUCUAACGACUACUUUACCCGUGCUAGCCGGUCCCAUCUCCCCCAACGGUCACCUUUUCCUUUCCGUCCUCUUUCUUCACACCUAUUAACCUUCACUAUAUAUAUAUAUAUCUUCACCAUUCACUAACAAAUUCAUUUCCAAUUCCGGUCCCAUUUUUGACUUCAUAUUUCGGACCGCCGGUCUAAAACACAGAGAGAAAUCCCCCUCCCCCCCUCAAUAGCAUGGCCAAGUUUGCUUUGUUUAUUACUCUUCUCUUUUUGUUUUCGCCAUUUAUUGGCCUCGUUUUCGCUAACGAUUCCCCUGCCGCCUCCCCAAAACCUCCUAAAACGCUUCAUUCUCCUUCUCCGGCGCAUUCUCCGGUUGUUUCGCCGCCGAGUCACACUGUAUCUCCGUCUAAAUCUCCGGCUGCUUCUCCACCGGUCGUAACUCCGGUAAUUUCUCCGGCAUUGGCUACCCCACCAUCUGUAGCGCCCUCGAAGGCUCCGGCAGCGGUACCUAUUUCUUCGCCGAGUGAAAAUUCUCCGCUUUCGUCGCCGCCGUCUCCUCUCCCUUUCGAUGCUUCUCCGGUUGGGGCUCCAGUGGAACCAGAAAUCCCGGCAAAUCCGAUUUCUGGAGGGUCUCCCGUGGGGACGCCGUCGAUAUUUCCGUCGAGCAGUAGCCCACCGAUGGCUACUCCGACAAGCUUAGCACCGGAAACGGCGGAGAGGCCUGGAAACGACGCGUCGGCGUCAGGAAAGUACAAGAUCGGGGUGGAGGUUAUUUUGAGUGGGCUUUCUAUUUGGGCUGCUUGGGCCUUUUGAAAUUAGGCCCAUGUGUUUAAAUUUUGGUGGUAGGUGUUUUUGAGAUUAUAUUGUAUUCUUUUUUGACUCAACGUGUGGGGUUCUUCUUUUUAUUCAAUUUUCUUAUAUGAAUAUAAUGUUUUUGGUAUAUUUAGGGUUAUUAAAUUAAUAAUAGUUAAACUAAAUUGCUUGAAAUAUUCAAUCGAUUGAAGUAGAAACAAAAUUUCCUCUAUCCUAAACUAGGGUUAGGGUGGUAGUUAUAGUUAUACUUCAAACUUGCCUAAUAAGUUUAAUGAUUCAAACUUACCUAAUAGGUGGAAUGCAUAGUGACAGAGUUAUACCUAAAAUAUUAUUGAAAAAGAGAACAUAAUUGAUAAAAGGAAAUAAAAAUGGAUGAUGAAUAUUUAUAGUAUGGGUUGAGGAGAAAAUAUCUAGAAACACCAUGGGCAUACUGUUUCGUUGAGAAUGAGUGAGUAGUUGAGAGAAUAAGGCAAAAAAAUGGUACUCGUGGAUUGAGAUGCGGCCAAUCAUCCAAAUUAUACACAUCACCUUUCAUAGAUACUUUCUCUUCUUAUCCAUCUUUCUGGGAUAACUCAUGCCAACUAAGAUACGACGAUAAAGAGUCUAUGUCAAUUAUUGCUAAUUUAAAUAAUUUUUUAGUUUUAUUCUAUUUUUCUAUAAUAUAUAUUAGUAUAUUUUUGAAAAAAAUGUGUACGGUCUCUAUUGAUUAUUUGACACAUCAUUAUAAAUAUUAAAUAUCCAUAUGUCCAAAACAACGUAAAAAAAUAUAUUACAUCUAGUCUUUUGCAACGAAAGGUUUACUACGAUAAAGAUGACAAGAAAUAACCGUUGAACAUGCACUUGACAAAACUCUCCCUUGCAAACACCCACAAGUUAAAAAAGAACUCUUCAUCCCUUCUUAUAUUUCCCUAUUUUGAAAAUUAACCUCCAUAUCAUAAACUUACUUAUUGGUUAAGUAAAAUAUUAAAUGUAAUUAACCUCCCUCUCUUUUGUGUUUCUAAGUCAUUAACCCCUUUUCCCUUCACUUCUAGACUUGACACAAUCUUUAAUAAAAUCACAACACACCUUCCAUCAUAAAUGUUGAAUUUCAAGUAAAUUCCAUAGAAUCAAGUAGAUUUAAUUAUAUUGUAGAAGGUUUCUUUUUGUUUAAAUAAAACAAGAUUUUACAUAAUUACAAUUCCAAAUUCCAAAUUGAAUAUUUUUUAUGGUUGUUUUAAAAAUAGAAAAAAGCGAUGUUCUAUUUUUGAUAAUUUUCUUUUUCUUUUUUGUGUGUUUCAUGAAGAGAUGAUCGUUUCUUGUUAUUUGUCAGUUAAUGGUUCAUUUGGAAAAUUGAUGGGUUUUUUUCUCUCUUCCUAACGAACUUCCAUGUUGAAGUUGUCAUACUACAUCAGUUCCAUGAUUUUCAUUUCUUCAAUCAAUUCUUCCAUUUCUUCCAACAAUUCUUGCAUUUCUCUUCCUUCCUCAUCGCUAUGGCCGAAACUGCUGCUCUCCUUUCCCGGUAUCCUCAACUGGGUAGCUGUUUUUCCAAGCAAGUUAGGUUUCAGAAGAUUAAUAAUCUUCAUUCUUUUUCAACUACUCCAUUCUUUAGCAACCAUUUUCUUGAUCGACGCCUAUUCACUUCCUCCAACAACAAUUGCAUUAUCAGGUAUUAUAUUCUUGCAUUUUUGGACCCGGAUUCUGUAAGUGAGAGGAGGGGAAUUUUAUGAUGAAAUGGUUGGAGUUUCUUUCUGUUUAUCACUUGCAUUCUUUCUUUGCGUUUCUUGAGUCAAAUUACUGUUGCUGAGAAAAAUGAAGGGAUAUAGAUGUACAAAUUGUGCUUCGUUUUUUGUGUUUGGGGAAGAUUUCUUUACUAUUCAUGUUUAAGUACUUACUUGACGUUGAUUCUUGCUAUUUGACUUCUUGUUACUGACUUUUCGUAGUUUAAGUUAGUUCGAUUGUUAAUAGUUGCUUGGUUAGAAUGAACGUAAUACUGUUCACUAGUAUUCUCAAAGAAAUUCAUGAUCCCAUCGAAGCAAAGAACAUGGUCAUCGUUGUAUGAGAUUUUUAAUAGGGAUAUCUUGAUCUCUAUUUCUACAUUGGUUCUCUCUAUUGUACUUGAAUGGACUUAUCUAAUCAUGGGUGUUUUUCAGCAUGGAUGCCCGAGAGAAAUCGAGUCGAAAAAUAGUCAACUCCAAACGACAUAAAAUAGUUCCAGUGUAUGUGAUGCUGCCUGUUGAUAUUUUCGAAAGAGGUCCCUCUGGGAUUGUGACACUUACGAAGUAAGCCAUUGUAUUGUUAGUCACUAUCUCAUCUGUUAUAUUGCUUUGUGGAUUUGCAAAUACGUACCAUGUUUAAAUCUGGCGAUAAGUUGAGUUUAUAAUUGAGUUUAGUUUGUAUUCGGUAGGCAUAAAUAUAAAUAAACCGUGUUGAUGUUUCAGGUUUUUGGGUCUUUGUGAAAUAGUUAAUAUGUCUCUCACUUUUUGCUUUAGAAUGAAGGCCGUAAGGGCGUCUCUGAGGGCACUCAAGCUUGCUGGUGUACAUGGAGUAGCGGUUGAGGUUUGGUGGGGGGUUGUAGAAUGUUUCUCUCCGAUGAUAUAUGAUUGGUCGCUCUAUGAAGCACUUUUUAGAUUGAUAUCCGAGGCAGGAUUGAAGUUGCAUGCUGCCUUGUCAUUUCAUUCAGACACGCGCUGGACAGUUAAAGGGAAAGAGGGUGUGAGUCUUCCGCUGUGGAUAAUGGAGGUUGGUUCUUCUAUGCCGGGACUUUUUUUAAUAGAAAGUUUAAAACAGCGUAGAUUUUCUGGUGAUCUUCACACUAUAAGGAUUAACUUUUAUAAUCUCAAAGCUGUUUUUCUUCAAUUUGAUCUUGUUCUACUAUCAUUGUGCUGAAAGUUCGAUUGAUGCUGUAAUCCAACAACCUCUUUUGGAAUGAGAUCAUAUCUUUACCUCUGAUUUGUGGUUUUGGAAAUUCAAUUAUGCUGAAUAUUUUUUCUGCCAGAUUGGUGCUCGCAACAAACAUAUAUACUAUCAAGAUCAAAAGGGAAUGACCAAUGGUGAUUACCUUACUCUUGGAGUCGAUCAUUUGCCUGUUUUAUAUACACGAUCUGCCCUCCAGUGCUAUGAAGACUUCAUAUUCAACUUUGUUAAGAAUUUUGGUCACUCAAUUGGAGACUUGAUACAGGAAAUAAGCAUUGGUCUUGGCCCUUCUGGAGAGCUUAGGUACUUCUACAAUUAUUGAUAUUUAAACGGGAAAUUCAAAGGUGUUGCUUGAGGUCUUACAUGGAGGGACCUUUUACAGGUAUCCUGCACAUCCUUUUGCUGAUGGAAGAUGGAUGUUUCCAGGGAUUGGCGAGUUUCAGUGCUAUGACAAAUACAUGUAAGUCCGAAGCUUUUCAUUUUUCAUGAUUUUCAACUAAUGUAGUCAAUCGUCAUCUUCAGUUCACUUAUGAUUUAUGAAGAGGUUGCUCUUGUUUCAGGUUGGCUGACUUGAAAAUAGCUGCAGACCAAAUAGGCAAGCCUCAGUGGGGGAACCGAGGCCCCCAAAAUGCUGGUGACUACAAUAGCUCCCCUUCUGGGGCUCCUUUCUUCGAAGGGGGAGAGGGAAGCUUUCUCUCUGAAUAUGGACAUUUUUUUCUUGUACGCAUCACAACCUUACAAUAAAUGCCUCCAAACUUUUCUUGUUAGAACUUCCUCACUAAUGAAAAGCUUAUUUAAAAGCAUGAAACCAUUGCCUUUAUCGAACAGGAAAAUAUCAAUGUUCACAUUCUAUCCGGCUGCUAAACAAUCGAUUUCUUUGCCAACUGGAUUAUAUUCCUUCAAUCUGUUAUUUACCAACUGGAUUUUAUUUCUCGAGUAUUUGAGGGCUUAUAUGGCAGAAUUUUUUUUUGUAGAAUUGGUAUAGUGGGAGAUUGAUUGAACAUGCCGAUGCUAUUCUUGGGAAGGCAGCUCAAAUAUUGAAGAGGUAUCUACAAAAGGAUCAUCCUUCAGUUACAUUAGUGGCUAAGCUUGGUGGUAUAUACUGGUGGUACAAGACAUUUUCUCAUCCUGCAGAACUUACUGCUGGUUACUACAAUACUGAAACCAGGGACGGUUACGAUUCUGUAACUUCGAUGUUGUCCCGUCAUGGCGCUGCUUUACACUUCCCGUAAAAUUCUGUACUCUUCGAUGUUCAUAUCAAUCAGCAUGUUCUGUUUCUCUUAUAGAUUGUACGUUCAUGUUUUUCAUUGCAGCUGCUUAGAAAUGGUGGACGACGAAACACCCUCACUAUAUGACUGUAGUCCAGAGCGUUUGUUCAAACAGGUUGGUGUCUAAAAUCACUGAUUUACUCAAAAAACCAAAGCGCACUAAUGAGCGAAAACAAAUUUACUAUCAUAAUAUCAUCUAAUAGAAUGUUUUUUUUUUUCUUCUUUUUUCCAACUUAGAUUGUGGACGCAUCAAAACAGAACUUUGUUCAUUUGAUAGGAAGGAACACAAACGAAAGGUUUGACAAGGUAAAUGGAGUUUAAUUUGUUCAUUUUGGGAUUGAGUUUAGUUUUAUGAUAUAUUAUGAUGAAUUUUGAUUGAAUGCAGGAUGGGUUCUGGCAAAUUCAUGCCAAUUGUUGUCAUCCAGGAAACGAUGCUGUUAAAUCCUUCACUUUUUUCAGAUUGACUAAGCAGUUUUUUUGGCAUGAAAAUUGGAUCAACUUUGUUCCCUUUAUCAAAAUGAUGAGCACUAAUAGCUACUGAAUUGUUCAAAACUACACUUCUUUUUUGCUGAAACAUAAGUUCAAACAAUUCUUUACAAUAAGAUUGUUAAUACCUGAUCAGUAAACAUCUAUCUUAUAGUUGGCCUUUUCAACUCUCAAAUAAAAACAAUAAUAAUGAAAAAUUGUUUCUUAUUAAAGUAUGGAAAUUAAAUUAUUACAUUUAUAAUAUUUUUAAAAUGUAAAUGUUUAGAAAUUAAAGUUCAUGAACUCUAGCAAAAUUUAAUUUUUUAAGAUAUUAUUGUAUCGACACGCUAAUAUAUCUUAGUAAAUGUUGAGUUAUAAGUUUGGUUUAAUUUUAUUUUCUUCUCAAAGUAAGGUUAAUAAAAUUUUAUUUUCAAAAUAAUGUUGAUCGGUUACUUUUAAAUGUAUUGUUAAAUAACUUUUAAUUGAUAUUUAUCCUUAAAAUUUUAUGAUUAAUGCACCGCUUUUACAAACUAUUAUAUAUAAUUUAACCGUUCAAUUUAUAACUUGGAGGACAGAUGUCAAAUUAUAUCGCUAUAAAUUUCAAACUAAUAACUUUUAUUGUAAGACUUUGCGAGUUUAUCUAAAUAAAACACAAAAGAGGGCUUCAAUUGACACCAUUAUAAAAUUUUAGGAUUUAAAUAAACACCGUUAUAAAUUUUCAAUGUUUAAAUUGAUAUAAGAGUAAAAUGCACCUUUGGUCCUUGAGAUUUGAAGUUUAAAGUCUAUUUUGUUCUUAAAGUUUCAAAACACAUUUUGGUCGUCCUUACAUUUUCUAAAUUUUUCAAAAUAGUAUCUGAAUUAAUCUUGAUUUAACAAAUGCUUACAAGACCGUUAAAUGUUGACUUGACGUUGGUUAUAUUUGAUGAUACUUAAAAAACUUAUCCUCAAGUUUGAGUGACCAUGAAAAAUGGAGGGAGAUCGAGUGAUAUUUAUUAUUUAUGACGUUUUGAAGCUAUUAAGAGGAGUUAUUAGUUUAAUAGAUACUUUUUGUAUGGAGGGUUGAAAUUAUAGAUAUUUAUUUGUGUUUAAAGAAAAGGAAAUGGUAUAAAAACGAAGAGAGGCUCCAAAAUCAACACGAUUGGAUUUCAAAAUCCUUUUCUUCACAACUUCAAUGGCGUUUCUUAUCUUAAAUCUCUCUCCCAAAACCCCCCAUUCUCCCUUCUUCCCCUCUCUCUCAAACCCCAAAACAACCACUCUCAAUUUCACCACCACUCUCCCACGCCGAUGGCUAGCCCGACCACGCAUCCUCACCGUCCGGUCCACCGGCGACGACAACAACAACAACUCUGCCGAUGCCCCCGACCGCCUCAUCUCCGCCAUCUGCUACUUCUACCCCUUCUUCGACGGCGUCCAGUACGGCAAGUACGUUAUCACUCAGUACACUCCAUUUCAGGUUCUGAUUCAACCUUUAGUUCCGGCGAUUCGUGUUUUCAAGAGCUUUCCAUUGAAUAGCUUUUUGGUGUUUUUAACUCUUUACUUCGUCGUGGUUAGAAACCCUAAUUUCAGUCGGUAUGUUAGAUUCAAUAUUAUGCAAGCCAUUGUUCUCGACGUGCUUCUGAUUUUCCCUGAUCUUUUGGAGAGGAGCUUUAAUCCUAGAGGGGGACUAGGGUUGGAUUUAGUGAUGAGUUUGGAUAGUACUGUGUUCUUGUUUCUUUUGAUUUGUUUGAUUUAUGGGUCUUCUUCUUGCUUGUUGGGUCAGAUCCCUAGAUUGCCCAUUGUUGCUGAUGCUGCUGAUAGACAAGUUAUGUGAAUUCUUUUUUUCUUCACUUCUUCGAAAAUGGAUCAGUUUCAUUAUUGUCGUUCUUGCUGAUUUUGUUGGGGGGGGAAUUUGGAUGGGAAUACUCAAAUUGUUCUUCAUUUGGGGGAAACCUAGUUGUAGAUUAAUUACGUGUUUCCAAAUUUCUACACACUUGUGAGGAUGAAAUAGUUAAAGAAAAAUCCAAGUUAGAAAUGAUCUUCAAUGUUCAUUGUCCAUUUUUCUGUUGUUAGUUUGUUCUUGAAUCUCUUCCCAUGUUAAUAAAAAAAGAUAAAUAAUAAAUAAGUGAAAAAGUGCAGAAAAUUAAUUUAUUUUUUUAACCAUUUAUGUUAGGAGGAGCUUAUACAUAAAUCAACUAAUCUCACUGGUACAACAACGCACAUUAAUCCCACAACCUAAACUUAGGAAUCAACCAACGUCAAUAUAUUUGAAUUUGUAUCUAUUAAAAUCUCAAUCAGAGUAGAACCACUCUACCAAAGAUAAAGAAAAUUAAUUAUUUAAUAUAUAUUGUAAUUUGACCCUUCAAAACUAAUAUUAAAAUAUAAAAAUUGAAAAUGUGAGAGAUACGGUCCAUGCCCAUUAAUAGAUUUGUCCAUGAUUAGUUAAAUGUUUAAAUUGACCUAAUCUAAAAUUUUAGGUUUUUUAGAAUCUAUCAAUCAUUAGUAUAGGCAUAAGGGGUUCACUCUCCUCAACUUGAUUGUUUUUAUAUAGGAAUGAUUGCAAAUUUAGCAAUUAAAUUCAAAAUAAUUAAGUAUAUAGCAACAUUUUAAAAAAUUGCAAAUAUAGCAAAAUUUGUCAAAUUCUAUCAAUGAUAGAGUCUAUCACUGAUAGAUCAUGUUGUAAAAAUUGGUCUUUCACCGAUAGAUCAUACGAGUCUAUCAACGAUAGUUUUGCUAUAUUUGCAAUUUUUUAAAAAUGUUAUAUCCUUAAUUAUUAUUCCUUAAAUGGUCAUCAAUUACAAUUAUCCUUUUAUAUAAUAUGUAUAAACAGAACCAAUUAAUAUUUAAUAUUUGUAUUAACUAUAGUCUCCAAUUUUACACUUUUAACCAUAUGUCCAAUCCUAAAAUUUAGGAUGUAAAUUGGACCGAAGUAGAUGAACUAAUUUUCGUAUCAUGGAAACUCAUCAACUUAUUUAGCAUAGAGGAGACUUAAGCUCUUUCAACUUUAUGCUCUUUAUAUUAUAUAUAAAAGAAACUAAAAGUGAUAUUAGCUAACCAUCAUUCGAUCAUUUUACACUCGAAUUUAAAUUUUACCUUCGAUCUUUACACCCAAAUUUAAAUUUCACAUGUUCAUCAUUAAACAGAGGAUUAAUUUAAUUAAAUUUUUUGAAGAUGUAUUAACUAUUAACUAAACAAACACCACCUGAGAUCCAAAUGUAGUUUAAAAGAAAAAAUUAUAUGGAAAAGUCAACUAAAAAAGAAAACAAAUUUGAAUCAUUUUGGUGGGAUUUAAAUUGAGUAUCUUAUACUUAUGAUGUUUUCUCUCUCUCUUAAAUCAUUUCCAUUGUAAAGCAAAGGAGGGAGUGAUUUCCAAAGCCACAUGGGACCUUGGGUUAUUCAUUCUCUCUUCUUCAUAUAUUUUCUUUCACUUUUACGGGUGAGCGGAUCCCUUAAAAGGUUAGGAUGCUCUUCACAUUCUCAACUUUUAUAUUUUAAUACUAAUUUUAAUUUUUGAUUAAAAUUAAAAUUUAGGAAUUUGUAUGAAAGAUCGUAAGUAUUCAUAAUUAUUAAUUAACUGAGAGUAAUGGAAUAAAAAUUUGAAGAGUAUAAAGCAGAAUAGGCAUAAUUAGUAGUAUUAAUUAUAUCCCAUUGCAUGAGGAUCCAUUCAUUAAGAUCUCUUCCAUUAUUACUCCAUAUAGCUUAGCUUCCACUUCACUUUAGUUUCCACAUGUUCCUCACCAUUUCCCAAAUCCUACAAACAAAAACCUCUUUUCCUCAUUUUCAUCUCAUUUUCUCUAAACCCUAAAAAUGAAUCUUCUCUUCCUCUUCCUCCUCCUCCUCUUCUUCCCAUCUCUCUUCAUUGCCCAAACCACCACCAAUUCUCCUGCCCCAGCCCCGACUACACUGGCUCUCGACUCCACCCAACUCAAUCUCACGCAUAUCCUCUCCACCCAUGGUUGCUCUGCAUUUGCCCUAUCCCUCCUAAGUUCCACAUCGGCGGAGAAAGCCUUCAACGACGUAGUCGAGGGUGGCUUUACCGUUUUCUGCCCAAACGAUGAUGUUUGGAGCGAGUUUUCACCUAAGUUCAAAAACCUAACUCCACCCGCUAAAACCUCCCUCCUUGAAUUCCAUGGUGUCCCAAUUUACAUGCCGUUGCCGGUUCUGAAGUCGAAUAACGGUGACACCAAUACGCUGGCCACCGACGGUGCUGCUAGAUUCGACUUCACGGUACAGAACGAGGGUGAGGAUGUGACUGUUAAAACCAGCAUUACGACGGCUAAGGUGGAUGGGGCUGGUGUUUUUGAUGAGGAUCCAUUGGUUGUUUAUUUGAUAGAUAAAGUUUUGGAGCCGGAAGAGUUGUUUACUGCGGACGUAAUGGCUCCGCCAAAGGGGGGAUCGGAUGUGGGAGCGGCUCCAUCGUCGGAUUCACCGGCAGAAUCUCCGGAAGAAUCUGUGGCGGAUCAAAAUGCUGAUGGCAACUCUGGGGUUAGAGUGGAGGGUGGAGAUCAGUUUCAUUUCAUGGCUGUAGCUUUAUGUGCAUGGAUGGGAUUUUCACUGCUGUAAUUUUUUUCUUUUUUACUCUUACCAAAUUGGAUCAUCCCCUUUGAUUAUCUUGCAAUGAAGAUUUAUCUUUUAUCUACUAAAUAGUCAUUUCUAUCAAAUUUUCUCAUACAAAUUUUAGUAUUUUUGUCAAAGUUUUUAGACUAUAUUUUAAAUUCAUUCCAUUUUAGUCCAAAUAUUUUUAAUGGUUCAAUUUUAAUUUUUUCCCUUUUACUUUAUUGCAAUUGAUUUAAUAAUAACAAUAAUUUUUUUUAUAGUUAACAUGUGAAUGUAUUUUCAAAAUUUUAGCAAAUGCUUUGGUACAUAAAUUUUCUUUUUAAACAUCAAUAGCAAAUUGUAUUAUAUAUAUGUAUUAGAUAAUUAAGUUUGUUUUGUAAAAUUAUCUUUUGCAAACAUAAUCGAAAACACAUGAAUAAUACAAUAAUACUUAUACAACUUUUAAGUCCACUUCCACUCAUUACAUAAACAUAAUACUACUUUUAAAACAACACACUCAUUUUUUUUCUUCUAAAUCUAUAUUAAUUAUUAACAUGCUAAAAAAACAUGUCAACCAUAAUUAUUCAUCAUCAUUCUUUUGUUCAGAGUGUAGAGGACGGGACUAAUUCCUGAUUUGGUUGAGUUGACAAUCCAAAAUAUCGAAUAAAAUAGUUAAGUUAUAACUUAUUUAUUCUUAUUAGUUUUAAAUAAGUUAAGUUUAUGGAUAACUUAUGAUUAAUAACCAAAAUUUUAUUAAAUUUGAAUAUAAAAUACCAAAUAUUUAAUACAAAUUUUAAGCAAAAAAGACAAAUAUCAUAACCAUUUUAAAAGAAAAUAUUAAAUAUUUUUGAAUUAAUCAAUUAGCAAAACUUUAAACGAAGAAAAAUGUACGUGUACAUAGAAAAAAUUUAUUAAUCCAACUCAACAACAAAACUAACCUAUCUCAACUCUUGUAUUUUGGAUUGGAUUGUUCGAAUUGUUGUAGUAGAUGUUUUAAUACUAUGAAAAGGUAAAUGAAAUUACCAUUUUUACAAGAAAAAAAAGGAAAAGAAAAGAAAAGACGAACAAAAAAGAAAAGGUUUGUUACAAAAUUUAGCUAGAGUGAUAGGGCAAGAGACAACUAGAAGAAGUGAAAAUCUUAGUAGAGAAGAAAAAAGGAAAAGCAAUUCUCGAAGUAGCGACGAGUGAAAUGAAAGUAGCUUAGACGAGGGAAAUGAGAGUAGUUUAGGUCGUAAAAUCGGCUACUAUAAUAUAUCAUUUGUCAAUCACUAACAAAUUUUAUAUAUGUGUAAAUAUUCAAUUUUGUAAUUUAAAACUAUUUUUUCUUAUAUUAUUUUUAUAACAUAAUAAAAACUAAAUGAGAAUUGAAGGUGACUAUUAGGAUACAAUUAUGUGAACUUUUCCAAUCCAAUUUGAUAUAUAAUUUUUUGCAAUUUGAUGAAAAAAAGCCAAAGAAAAAUCCAUUUUCGGGUGUUUGAUUUGUUCAGCAAGAAGUGUUAAGAACGAGAAGGAAAACGGCAAAAGUUCAACCGGAGCAAUGGAGGAAUCUCAGGAAAUUCUUCUCAAUUCUCUCCAAAAAUCAGGUGUUUCAAUCCCAACAGACCUUUCCUCGAUUCGGAACUUAUCCCCUCCCAUAUUCUUCUCCAUCUGUGCUCAAGUUUUGAAUCGAAUACAUCCCCAAACUAAAACCCCCUUCUCCACUUCUCUUCCGGACUCUGUCGCCGAUCAAUUCAAGGUAUCUUCUGAAAUCGCUUCCGCCAUUAAGGAUCUGGGUUUCAUCGGAGAUAUUAGCUUCCACAAGGUAUCCCACUACUUCCUUUUUUUCACCAACUAAUUUUGUUGCUGUUUAUAUUUGGUUCGUUUAUCAAUUUACUCAGCUCUGAUUUUGGUACAUUUUCCAUGUUAGCAUUCUAUUUCUGUUCAUGGUGAUCGUAGUGCAGCUUAAAUUUUAAGGAGAGUGAUAAAUUUAUAAUCUAAACUUCGUAUUGUACCUCUUGGACAUUAUUAGCAAAAGUUAAGGCACCCCAUUUGAUGAUCAUUUUGUUUUUGGUUUCAAUUAUGCUUGUUUUCUCAUCCUAAACAUGUUGGAUUUUCAAGAACUAAAUCAAGAUUAUACAAACUAGUUUUUUUAGUUUUGAAAAUUUGGGGUGGUUUUGAAAACGGUUUUAAAAAGUAAGUGAUAAAGCAAAAAAACUGUAUGUGGAAGUAGUGAAUCUGAGGUUAAUAGACUUUUUUGGAAUUGUACUUAGAAACAGACUACAUGUGUUGCUUACAACAGUUCUUGUAUCCAUCUGAAGAGGACUUGUACAAGCUGAUAAGAUUCUUGGUGGAGAGGCUUCCUGAAGCUUCAGAUGGAAAAUUUAAGGUUUUGGAAGAUGGUGAUGGUAGGAAAGAAACAAAAGCCGACACUUCGAAAUGCUACUAUGUGGAGAACCAAUCAAACAAGAUCGAUACUGACGAUUCCGUUUCUACCCAUCAGAAGGUUGAGAACAAACUUGCUGAUCUCAAUAUUGUUGCUGAAGAGACAAAAUCUCCAGAUUCCAUCGUUGAUAGAUUCUCUGAUUUCCAUCUCGACCGAAAAAGUUCGGGUGAAGCAGCUAUGGUCGACAAUCUUGUUAACGCUUCCAAGGAUCAGUCUGAGGUGUCUGGAAAUGAAUCAGUUGAACUGCAGGGGAAUAAUAGACACGAAGUUGGUACUUACAUUCAGAAGACCUUUGAAGUAAGUACAUAUGUUUCUUAACUUCAAACAAUUAUUAAAAUCUAGAUUUAGACAUCAACUAGACAUAUGAGAGAACAAAUAAAUGGUCUUCCCCUUGGAAAAGGGUAUUAGAUUGGAUGAUAUAACGAAUAUAUGAUAUCUUCUUUUUUCGAAUGAGAACUGAGACUAAGGAAUUUCAGGAUCAAGAGAUCGGACCAUUGGAAGAGGUCACUACAAAUGCUUCUGAACUAAAGCAUUUUCAAGUGGAGUUGGAAAGGUUGAAGGCAGUAACCAGUAUUGUAUUUGAUGACAACCAUUCGAUUGAAUUUCAUCUUCGGCAGCUGGAGGAGCAAAUAAAUUCUAGAAAACUGGAUCUUCUUGAAAUGAAGUCACGGUGGUGGGGCAUCAUUUCAGUUUGAUGGCUGGAUUAACUUUUAUACUACUGCUUUGGCAUUAUAUUUAGUUUAAAAACGAAGUCAUGUAGAUAUUAAAUUCUAAUACAAAGAUGUAGAUUUCAUUUGUUUUUUUCUUUAUCAUUGAUCUCUACAGGGAUGCAGAGAGGGAGCUUUUAGAAAUUAAAAGGCGAAGUCUACAAGAAUCACUAUGUGCAAGUAAUCCAAAGGCUCAAGAAAAGCUGCAAAAAUUGAGGGAGUUUGAAUCGGAAAAGAAGCUCAUUGAGUUGGAAAUCAGGAGGCGGUAUGCUACUUUCUUUUAAUAUUAAAUAGGAAGUGAAUCCUUACUGAAAUCUCUGAAAUAUUCUCAGUAUUUCUAGUAAUAGUUUUUCAAAAUGAACUACUGUCACAUGAAAUAGAUGUUUUAGAUUAGAAGUUAUUUGGAGAAUACCCUCCACGUCUUAGUUAUAAAUUGAGUUUUUCUUUACUUUUGAAGAGUGAAAAGUACUUGUAGCUAAUUAAAAAUUACUUUUAAAAUUUAUUUCGGUAUUUUAUUACAUUAACAAAAAUGCUUUUAUAAAAUGUAAGCACUAGUCCUUAGAAGUACUUAACUGGUUUGCAUAUUUGUCAAAAAUCAUCUUGAACUUACCAUCAAGUAUCAAUCCCUUAGGUUAAAUCUUAAUCAUUAUAGAUUAGUGGUUUCCUGAGCAAGCUAGGUUUUGAAAAUCAGUAUCAACCUAUCUUUAUAUAAAGUGAUGUCGUAAUGAGGGCUUUUCCUUUUUGGGUGGGUGGGUUUGUUGGCAUAUGAACAUUGAUGUUACUGAUAACGGGAAGUAAUCUGUACUUUUGUGGAGAUAGUUUUUAGGGAUCUAUUGUGUGUUAUGUUAGUAUUUUAUAUUCAAAAUACAGUUCAUGGUGUCUUUUUCAACAUUUACAAGUUUUACAUAUUUUAUUUUUUGGUUUAAACACGAUAGAUUAUAUAGUUUUUCUACCCCAACUCCAAGAAAAUUUCCUGAUCAUAAUAUGCAACAUAAAAAUUUCUUGCAUGCCUAGAACCAUAUUAAUUCUUCCUGAUCAAAUAUUGUUAUCCAUUCUUCAGGGAGGAAGAAAAUUCUAAUAUCGCAAUAGAUCUUAAGAAGCAGCCCAAGCAAUUAUCGAGACGAUCCUAUAUCAAUAGAGUAAAAGAGAUCACAAAAAACAGUCGGAAACAAGACGCUGACAUUGAUCGAAUCCUUAAAGAAACUAGAGAGCUUCAACUAGAAAGUAACAAUAUUCAAGAACGCCUCCAUAGAACCUAUGCAGUUGUGGAUGAGCUAGUUCUCAGGUAUGCAUCACAGAACUCUUGCAUCGUUGACUAAUGUGGUGGUAUUAACGUCUCGCUUUCUCGUCCCUCUUUUACAUUUCAUUCUCAACCCGAAAAAGAAAAUUCGAGGUUUUAUCUUGCUGAGAAAACUAGCUGAAGUGAUUCAUGUCUAUGCAGGGAAGCAAAAAAAGAUGACACAGGCAAACAAGCACACAAGCUUUUAACUAAUAUCCAUGAGAAUUUUGGCGAGAUCUCGAACAAAAUCCUCUCAACUGAUAGACUAAGAAGAGAAACUGCAGAAUACGAGAAGAAGAUAGCGGCCUCGGCAUCCCGAAGCUUAAACUUUAACAAACUACAAGCUGAUCUGGAUGCUAUCAGGAGAGAAAAUGGUCACCUGGAGCAACAUCUAUGCCAUAAAAAAACCAUUGACAAAGUGUAGAAUAUUUUCUGGGGUUUUGUUUAGCGUAAAUCAUUCAUCAUGCUUUUUGCAGCGAUUACAUUCUAGUGUAAAGGAUAGAAUGAUACAAUACAAAUGGCACUGCUGUUACUAAAUUGGGAUUUCAAUAAUGAGUUGGAAUUUGAUGGCUUAUGAUAUAAGUUUUCUACUUUUGGGUUUUUAUUGUGAUUUUAGAUGUGUAUUGAAAUGGAAGAUAGCAUCAUCAUUUUUAGGGUAGGGGAUUCCUUGAUUUUCAAGUUACGUACUCCACUGGAACUUUGGUGGUUAAGCAGUUUUAGGCAUUUUUCUUCCCUUUUAACAUUUUGAAGCUUCUUCUACUUGAAGAAUCUUAACAAAUUCCAUAAUGAUUAAGGGAAUAAGUUUUUACUUGUUGUCCAAAAAUUUAUUACUUGAUAAUUCUUUUAAAAAUAAAACUAUUACUUCACUAUUGUAUUUCUAUUAAAUAAGGUCUCGUUUGAAAUCUAAUAAGGUUGCAAAAAAAAAAGUUUUUAAGUGGAGAAAUGAUUAUAUUAAAAUUGCUUACAAGGAUGUCAUAUAUUUUUAUUAAACAAUUAUAGAAACGUUUCUUUAAUUAUCAAUGUCUAUUAUUGAUAGAACUUUGAAAAUUUACCUUUUUUUUAUCUCUAUAUUUGAUAACUAUUUUGGUUUAUUAUGAUAUAUUCGAAAAAGCUCCUUUCAAAAAAUUGGUUUUUAACUUGAAAAUUUGAUCAAAAAUUCGAAUAUUAACCUAAAAAAAGAUGAGAAGUACGGUAAAAUCGAGGGAAUUAAAAGCUAAAUUAUUAAAUGUUAGUUUUCAUAAAUAUAACAAAACACCGUAAAUAAGUUCAUAUAACAAAACAAAAAACUAAUUGCAAAAUAUUUUAGAUGGUUUCGAUUUCUUCUGCAAUUUUUCUUUUAUAUUUUUUUGAAAUCACGAUCAUUGUUCUACUAUUAUUAUUAUUAUUUUCCAUCAUACUUCUGCUAUUAUUAUCUUUAUUUUCAAUUAAUCUUCAAUCUUGAAUUAUUCUUUUCAAUAUGUCAUGGACACAGAUGAACUAUAUAAUUGUUUAUCAUAGAGCUUUUCAAAACCAUCGUUUGUCAUGCACAACACGAUCUUGUAUCAUAAGCAUACACAGUUGUGUAUCAUAAUUUACACGAUCGUUUAUUAGGGCUUUUCAAAACCAUUGCUUAUCAUGAACUACGCAUGGUCAUGUAUGAUCACAAGAUCGUUCACUAAGUUUUUUUUCUUUUUUCAAAACCAUCGUUUAUCAUGAACUAACAAUCGUGGAUCAUGAACCAUGCGAUGAUGUAUCGUUUCCUAUAAUAUUGCAUAUCAUGAUUGUUUAAAAGAAGAAUUACACUCGCAUCUAGCCAAUUAAUCAUGUGUCAUUUUUUGUAUUUGGCUCGUUUAUUAUAUUUUUUUAAAAACUCCAUUAUUAAACAAAGACUGUUUUCUUUUGUCUUAAAGUUUGGCUUAGACAAGAAAGAAAAGAAGCACGAGCACGUAUGUAAAAUUUAUAUUUAUAUGCUAAAAUUUCAAAACAAUAAUAAUAAAGAAAAAUGAAACUUUUAGUAACGAUAGUUAAUCUUUUCAUCUCCUAAGUUAUGCUCGAAUUGACUAAUAUAUCAUUAUUGUUAUUAUUAUUAUUAUUAUUUCCAUUAAAUAUAAUUAAUGAAACCUUAACUUCUCCGUAAACAACCAAUGUCGGUUCUGAUUUUGUCACCCAACUGUGACAAACGCUUUACACGUGGACGUCUAAGAACCUGCCAAGUGGUAUCUACCAUUGGACCCACCACCCUAAUAUAACCAUACAAUCAAUCACAAUGAAAGCAAAACUAUAACCAAAUCAUUUCAUUUCUUUUCUUUUUGUAAUUUGUGUGUGUUCUUUUUUGGGUGAAUUUCCCCAAUCAUCCUUUCAAAAUAAAAAAAAUUCUUUUAUAAGGGUCUCUUUCUUCUUCCCUCAUUGAUUUUCUCUAAAAGAGGUUGCCACAUUGCCAUCACUUUUGCUUCUCCAUUUCCUCCAUUGAUGUGUGAUUUCAAUACAACUCUGCUUACACAGAAAUGGGGUUUCUUGAUUCUCUGUUUGGAAAAGAUUCAAGAAAGUUUAUCAAAAGAAAAGAUAGCGAUGCUGGUGAAGCAGGUGAUUUCACUUUCACCCUUUUUAAUCCUCUUUUGUUUGUAUAUGUUUUUCUUUAGUUCAAUCUUGGAUUUCUGGCAUCUGGGCUUGUGUUUUUCUUUUUCCUUUUUAUUCUUAUCGAUUGCAUUGUGGUUUCCAAAUCCAAAUUCAUUGGUUUGAUUUGGGGAUUUCAUAGUUUUUGCAUCUUCUUCUUGUAGUUGAUAUUUGGAAUUGGAGGUUCCGUUUUACAUUGUAAUUUCUGAAUUGUUCUGUGUAUGAAGAUUUCAUUUAUUAAUAAAUAUGAGAUACCUUGGCUGUUUCCUAUUGAUCAUUGGUGUUGUUAUCUAUGUUUUUUCAUGAACAGAAGUUCUCAUACUCUAUAAAUCCACAGGCCGAGCGCUCGAAGAAAUCAGAGGUUCGCUUUAUAAUGAACUACGAACUUCCGAUGGGGCGAAACGGCAACAGCAGCGAUAUUGCGGACCUGUAGUGGCAAUGACAUUCAAUUUCAUGGUUGCUGUUGGAAUUAUAAUGGCAAACAAAUUAGUAAGAAAAAUGUUUUAACCAUUUGAACAUAUUUAGAACAUAUUUAUUGUGUUUGGGAAUAGACGAGGCUCUUUACGUUUGUGUGUUUAUUAUUUUUAUUUUGUUUUGUUUUGCAGGUAAUGGGAAGAGUUGGAUUUAACUUUCCAAUAUUUCUCACAUUAAUACAUUACACUAUUGCAUGGUUUUUACUAGCAAUUUUCAAGGCACUUUCUUUGCUUCCUGUUUCUCCUCCUACCAAAACCACUCCCUUCUCUUCUCUUUUCUCCUUAGGUGUUGUCAUGGCUUUUGCUUCAGGUCUUGCCAAUACAAGUCUAAAGCAUAACAGGUUUCCCCCUCGGAUUCUUUUUCCUUUCCUUUGUCUUUCACAACGAGUCGUUGGUCGGGUUGCGCAAGAGGGGGGGAUAUUGUUUUUAAAAGCUAUUGAGGCUUAUGCUUAAGGCUCGCCUCGAGGCGAGGCUCUAACUUUUAGCUUGAAAUUUAAGCCUUUGUUGAACCAUAAGAGGCUUACGCCUCCCAUAGAAGGGGUUUACACCUUUGUAAAAGUGUAUCAAGGAUUAAAAUCUCUACACCUCGUGUAAUGGUUGGAAAAAUACUAGUGAAAAUUUGAACUCUUUUAUUACUUUUUACUGGUGUAAUUAAAAUGUCAUCAAAUACCGGAUUUGUGAAAUGUUUUCAUUUCAAUUUGAGGUUUACGUCUCAUACAGUCUCGAAACUUCCACUUCACCUCUUUAAGAAGAAAAGCCUCAAGGUUGCUUUUAGCUUUUUAAAAUACUUGGGAGGGGAAGCGUUUUCUUUGGUUUCUUACUUUUGAAUUCGAUGUGCAGUGUUGGAUUCUACCAGAUGGCUAAAAUUGCAGUAACUCCCACAAUUGUUUUUUCAGAGUUCAUACUCUUCAAGAAAACCAUUUCUUUCAAAAAGGUCCCAACAAAACAAAAAAAUACAAUAUAUAUCUAUCCAUAGAGAAAUUUGCCUACUUCCUCAUGAUGUGUUUGUUUUGUUCAGGUAUUGGCUUUGUCUGUCGUCUCCAUCGGUGUUGCGAUUGCAACCGUAACAGAUUUAGAGUUCAACCUAUUUGGUGCCUUGAUCGCAAUUGCUUGGAUAAUCCCAAGUGCCAUAAACAAAAUACUUUGGUCGAAUCUGCAACAACAAGCGAGUUGGACGGCAUUAGCGUGAGUUCUUGUUGUUAUUACUUUACAUUUGACCUCUCAUCUCUCCCCAUUGAGGAGACCUAUUUUUUCACAAUAUGUAGUUUCAACUUGUGGUGUGUGUUAGGUUGAUGUGGAAAACUACACCAAUUACAAUAUUUUUCUUACUUGCUCUCAUGCCUUGGCUGGAUCCACCAGGAGUUUUAUCUUUUAAAUGGGAUCUUGGUAGUUCAACUGCUAUUUUGAUAUCAGCUCUUCUUGGUUUUCUCUUGCAAUGGUCUGGAGCUUUGGCGCUUGGGUGAGACUUCUGUUAUUUUGUUUUUCCUUUCCCUUCUUUUUUGUUUUGGACUGCUCUAUCUUUGAUUCCUUUUGAUAACCAUUUAGUUUUUGGUUUUUAAAAUAUUUGGUUAUUUUUGCAUUUAGUACUUUUUGGUUUUUGAAAUAUUUGGUUAUUUUUGAAUUUCUUUCCCUUCGUAUUCAUCUUUUUAGUUGAACAUUUGAAUGCUUAGUCAUAAUCCAAGAACAAAAACAAGUUUAGACAAUGAGCUCGUUUUGGUUUUUUGUUUUUGAAAUUUAUGUUUGUUUCCUUGAUAUGGUUUGUUAGACAAAGGUACAAAAACUAGUUUUUUGAAAAAUGUUCUUUUGUUAGUUUUGAAAUUUAUGCUUGUUUUUUAAACAAGAGUAGAAAGUGGAUAACGAAAGAUAGAAAUUUUGGGGUAAGAGUAGGGUUUAGAAGGUUAAUUUUCAAAAACAAACUAUUUAUUGAUAAGACCCACUUUACAAAACUUGGUAUGGUUUUCGAAAAUACUCCUAAAAAAUAGAUUGCAUAAUAGAAGAUAUGUUCUUUAGGCCCGUUUUUUAGCACGAUAUAGCAUAUAGAUGAACAACAUGGCCUUUGCAAUAUACUCUCCUUUCUCGAUACAUCACAUCAAAGCUCUUUUUAUAUAUAAAAACUGUCCCACUUAUUUUAACCAUUUGACAAUUGUACCAAAUCACCAACAUUUUUCUAAUAAACAUACUAUAUCAUCGUUUAAAAGACUAUUCCAUAUAGUAACAAUAAUCUUCUUACUUCAUUAGCAGUGUUGUUGUUCAAUUUUGUGCAGUGCAACCUCUGCAACAUCUCAUGUUGUUUUGGGACAGUUCAAGACUUGUGUAAUUCUGCUUGGAAGCUAUUUUGUUUUUGGGUCCGAUCCCGGGUUCGUCAGCAUUUGCGGAGCGGUUACAGCACUCGGUGGAAUGUCUGCUUACACAUCCCUUAACCUGCAGCAACAACUUGACAACAAGCAACAACUUCCAAAGCAUAACUUGGCGAUACCGAAACCUGAAAACAACGUGGUUGUAGAAGAUGCUCCGAAGUCAGAUGUACAAAAUUCUGAUGUUGCUGUAUAGAGAUUUUUAAUGAACGAUUUGAGUUACCAUGAGUUCGAUCUAAAGGUUUUUUUUUUUUGUUUCCUUUUUAAUGGUAAAUUGAGGGUAGUAAAUAUCUUUCUUCAUAUAUGAUUAUUCAAAGAUAUGCAUUUCUAUUCUUUUUAAAACAUUUCUUAACGAUUUAAGUUCAAAUCACAUCUAUAAGAUCAUUUAGAAUAGCUAUUGAAGUGAAUGUUCGGGAAAAAUAUUUUUUUUUGUAAUUUUAAGUUUUGAGUUUAAUUUCUAUUUGGAUCUUUGAUUUCAAAAUUUAAAUCUGUUUAAGAUUUAAAAAAUGCUCAAUUUUAGUGUCGAAGAUAACAAAAUCGUUAGUAAUUAAACAGAAGUUAACUAGAACACUAUGACUAACAAAUUUUAAACUAAAAUAUAUUGAUGAUGUGAUUAGUUUUAUUGAUAGAGAAUGAUUUUUUCUAAAGGAAAAAGAAACUCGAUAGACUCUUGGGAAUCAAUGUUGAAAAAGAUGUAUUUUUUACAUCUCUUUCUUCCUUUUCAUCGAUAUCCUCUCGUAUCUUCUCUCUAACAACUUCUAAGAAAAAGACUUAUGAAUGAACAUGAGACCCCAACUAACCAACACGAAGCUUCAUAUUCCUUUGCCAUUAUCAUCUUCAUACCUCACUCUCUAGAAAUGGUCAUUUUUGAAAGCUUAAGAGAACAGAGCAAGGGGGCGUUGUCAUCUCUUCCUCUUUGGGUGUUUAUUUAGUAUAAACCUUCUUAGAAUACAUGGAGAUGGAGGAGAGAGAUGAUAAAAAAGAAGUGGAAGAGGAAGAAAGGGGAGAAAAAGAGAAAUAAAAGAAUUUUAGGAUUGAUUUUGAAAACGUUGAGUUUUGAGAUAAAGUGUGUGUGAAAUGUCUAAAUUGUCCUUCGUUCAUUUUUCCUUCCUUUCUGAACUUCAACCUAAAAACAAAACAAAACAAUCAGAUGUGGUCUAUUAUAACACUAUGAUCAAUGGGUUUUGUAAAGUGGGGCAAGUAGAUAAGGCAAAUAUAUAUUUUGUUUGAAAAGAUGAAAGAAAAUGGUUAUACACCAAAUUGGUUUUUGGAAGAGUAGUAAAUCAGAAGAGGUGAUUAAACUUCUCCAUAAGAUGGUUCAAAGGAAUGUGUCACCAAAUGAUAGCAUUUGCACCAUAGUCGUUGACAUGCUAUGCAAAGAUAUUGAAUAUUCUCUAGACUUGCUUCCGUCCAAAAGCGUCAAGGUUGAUAUUGAAUAUUCUUUUGAAAUCUCACCUAAUUUCCAAACUUUGGCCUUUAAUUUGGUUCUAAUAUUAAGAUUUUGAGGAUUUAAAUCCAAUGCACAUAAUCUUUCUUUCCCGUUCUUUCUUCUUCCAUUCCUAUUUGAUGAUUGAAUCGGUUAGUUUUUAUUUUUUAUUUUUGUCCAUUUUUUGGAACUUAUAUUAUUUAUUCUUUUGUUUCCUAGCAUAUUACUUUUUUUCCGGAUGAGUUUCAAAAUCAAAUUGUUAUCCCUCCCAAGCCAUUUAAAGUGAUUCAAUGCAUGUUUCUUAAGUUUAUUAGGUGAUCAUUACGAGCUUUUAGACAAACUAAAAUUUGGUACACAAAUGAACAUAUGUACAAAAUGAAGUUAAUACAAUUUCAUUAGAUAAACAAAACGUGACCACAAACAAAACAUUCCAAUAGAGUAUAUUGAAUCUAACAAGUUGUCUAUUGGUAUAUUGGUGUUGUGAUCAUUGUGAUGAACCACCACGACUCUUUUGUAGCCACCAAUCACCCAAUUUCCUUGGAAUCAUGUUGAGUUACUUCUCUCUAACGACCAUUUGAGGAAGAUUGAGAGGUGAGAAGCUUAGUACAUUAUUUGAGCAUAUUGCAAAACAAAAAUGUGUAGAAUAAAACAAAUAAACUUGAGUCCAACUCAAUGCAUGAUUUAAAAAUUUUGAGUUGGCUACUUUACCACAUUUUGGAACAAGAAGUAUCGUCACUAUGGCUAACCAUUUCACUCCUAACCUCGCAAAAAGUGCUACAUCCCAACUCUAAAAUCCACUUGUGCAUGAGAGAUUUUGAGAAUGAAAAACAUGAAGAUGGAGGAAGUGGGAGAAAAGUGACCUACCUUUUUGUUUAAAAUUAAUCUAGUCAUCACCCUAGUCAACUUUUCCUUGAGUUAUCAAUGAUUUUGUUAUCUCAAUAACUAAAAUUGAGCAUUAUUAAAAUGUUGAUGAUAAAAAUAUUAGAUAUCAAUAAAUUAGUUCAUCUAUAUAUAUAAAAAAAAGGUUCAAAUUAGAUGAUAGACUUUACUAAAUAUGUAGCCAACCUUUGAAUUAGUGUGGUGUGUAGGGAUUUCUUAUAAAUUAGACAAUUAAAAAUUAGGCAAUAAAAAAAAAAGCAUUAAUAAAUAUAGUAAAUAAUUGAAAGGUAUGUGUGGAUGAUUUUUGCUUUAAUUUUAAACUCUAUAAUUUAUGUUAGAUUGUGAUUUUCUUUCUAAUUAUAAAAGUUCAUUGAUUUUACAUCCCUUUAAUUCAUUUCCUACCGGUACUAUAAAAGAAGAGCUAUUUGCCUUUCAAUUUCGACGAAAGGAUUUGAGGCUUUGUCUUCUUUUUUUCACUCCAUUUUCUCUUAUCGAGAUUUGAAUUUUGUAAGUUUGUUGAUCAACCACAAUCCACCAUUCUUUUUUAUUAGCUUUCUUUGUGAAAUCUCGAUCGACUUUUAACACUUUUUCUCUCUUGUGUUGUCGAAUAGAAGUGUUUUAAUUUUAAGUUUAGGGUUCAAUAAUUUUCACCUCAACAACGCAAGAACGUCAAAGUUUUCAUUCAUCAGAGGCUUUCACGAUACAGAAAUAAGUGCAUAAGACUUCUACUUUUUCUCUUAGUUUUUACUAAAGGGAGAAUUUUCUCCGCAUCAUUUUUCAUCACUCAUUUUUUUCUAACUUGUUUCUUUUAUUUUAUGAACAACUCAUGUGUGAGGAUCACGACGAAAGGAAAAUAACGUUCGUUGAGGGUUGAGUUCUUCAAAUACAAAAAUCUGGUGAGUUAACUCUUUGUUUUUCUGUUUUAGUUUUUGGUUACAAAGUGUUUGUUUCACUAAUUCUUUAACGUAUCUUCACAUAUGGAUUGUUUAUAUAAAUAGUGUUAUUAGGUGUUGUUUUCUAAAAAUAAAGCUUACAAUUGAAGACACAAAAAUGCAGGUCAAUUCAUUCAAACAAAAACUACAAUAGGAACUGCCCAUUACAAAUCAUGAAUACUAAAAUAAUUAAUUCCUAAAACAAUAGGAACCAACUUAUAACAUAAUCAAACUAACAAGAAAACAAUCCUAAAGCAUUUUAUUAAUACUAGACAUGAUAAACUCUUUAAUCUAUUACUUAAACGUGUUUGUUGGGUUGGGUUAAGUUGAGUUGAAGUACAUUUUUAGACUCAACUUGAAUGUUUGGGUUGUAAGCUAAGCUUUUUUAACCCAAAUAACUCUCGCUAGAAAAUGAACCAAACACAACCCAACCAUGAAACAUUUGGGUUAGGUUGGUUUAGUUCAUUUGGAUCAUUUAUCUUUUUUCUUUCUUUUUAGAAUAAAGAGAAAGUAAAAUAUUAAUACGUAGAAAUUGGAUUUAAUUAUUUUUAUAUAUUUAAAUUAAACUCAAUUUCAUUUUAUAUAAUUCAUAUUUUUUUCCAAAUUGCUAAAAUCUAUUUUUAGAAGUUAUCGGAGAAUAAACUACAGAUAAAUAAGAAAAUUAAAUCAAACAAAAAUAAAAAUGUGUAUAUAUAAUAGAAUCUUGAGUAUAAAAUCUAGGUAAAUUGCAUAUGAUAGAAUUUUGAUAAUAUGAUAUAGUAAUUACACCACAUUGUUUUAGAAUUUUGUAAAUUUGGUAAAAUGUAUAAGUAGGACUUCAAGCAUAUCAAGUGUAUUUAAUCAAUCAAUUUUAUAAGUGAAGAAUACUAAAUGUAUCUGCAGUGUAUCAAACAUAUAUUAGUAAUGUUUCAGGUGUGUAUCAAAAUGUAUCGAGUGUAUCAAAGAGUAUUAUAUCAGGUGUAUUAGGUGUACAAAACGUGUAUAAGGUGUACGAGACGUAUAUUAGUAACGAGGACAUUAGUGACAUUUUACGGUUUGAUAUGUGGGCUAGACUUCGUUUUUGUCAUUUUUGCAAAUAAUAAAAUGUGUGUACUAUGGAUUUAAUUAUUAUAACUUAUUUUGUCAUUUUUGCGAGUGUCCCUAGUUAUUAAACAACAUAGUAUUAUAUACAAAUCAACCAAAUGAGUCUUCUAUUGCACUUUGAAACAAAUACACAAGUCCAAGUUUAAUUUAAAAAACAACAACUAAUAGCUUAUUACAUACAUAGAUUAUAUAUGAUCCUUAAAACUAAACAUAAACUGUACAAGUUUGGAUUUGACAUAAUAAUUAGAAGGUUCUAUAUUGUUAGCAGAUUAAGGUCAGUAAACUUAAAUAUGUUUAAAUUAUAAUAAUGUGCUGUUACGCCCUUAAAGAACAGGGCAUCCCUUGGCCACAACCCCAGGUGCUGUAGGGCACUUAGCCAAAGUACAAUGAUCAUCAGCUCCUAAACCCCACCAAUCAGGUCCAAAAAUAUCCUUCGAUUGUAGUGUAAAAUAUAUAACAAUCCCCAUAAAUGCAACCCCAGCAUCUAAUGCUGCUGAUAAGAUAUAGUUAUGUCUUGCCCACCAUCCUUUGUAUUUCUUGUACACAUAGAAAUUGAAGAAUAUUCCAACUAUUCCCCAUGUUAUGUAGUUCACUGCUCUUGCUGGUGGCAUUCCUCCUGUUGCUCCUAUUAUGAUUGGCAUGUUUAUGAGUUUAAUCCAUUUCUUUUCUGGGAAUUUGAGAGAGAGUAACCAAAUUGGUAACGGGGCCAGUAAUCCGAUCAGGAAGAACCAGUUCAUUUGUCCGUAGACGCCGUAUUUCGUGAACAUUCGUAAUGGUCCUACUACACCCCAUAUUAUUGAUGCAUUGUAGAAUACGUCGUCGCCUGGACAUGUCCAUGGACUUCCUUCUGGUAAUACGUUUGUGUCGCAAAUGUUUGGUAUGGUUGUUAGAAGCCACCAUGCCGUGCCAAAGUAGACACUCGACGAUACAACCGUUCCUACAAGCUGAGAAAGUGGGUUGUGUUUAAAAUCGAAACAGUUGCAAAUAUAUAGUAGAUUGUGCUACUCAGUGCAAUUACCUUUCUUCAUACUAUUUAAAAGCAUCUUUUGAAUGGUGUUGAAAAUGACAAAAGUGAUCUUAAUCAUUUUUACCUGAACAGUGAACAUGGAUCUUGGUGGGAUCUUCAUGUAAUGUCCUAAUUUGAAAUCACCAACAAAGCUAAGAGCUUGUGCCAUGCUAAUAUAACCAUAAGUUUUGAAAGCCACAUUUGCAAGAGGCUUUCCUGGAUAAAUAUAACCUAUGAUCAACUCUGUUAUGACAUUUAAUCCUGGUUGCUGCACCAAACAUUUAAGUGAAAUAAUCAGAAUAAUUAUUUGACUAUAUGUUAUAUGUUUGUUAAUUAAUAUCAUUGUUUUAAAUUUGUUUCCGGUGAAUAUAAGGUAUAUAUAUAUUACCAUAUUUGUUGUGGCUUGAAUGAUUCCAAUAGGCAGAGUGAAGAAGAGUGCGAUUGCACAAGCAAGUAAUAUUCCCCACCAUGGUAAUUGGAGUUGUUUGUCAAAACCUUCACAAGCAUACAACGCUAGAGCAACCAUUGCAAUCAAGAUAAUGUGAAACCACCAUUGAGGCACUUCUUUAUAGUUCUUUUUCAUUAUCCUUGUAUGCACAUCUCCAAUUUGAUUCAUCGCCGUCGUGGUUUUCUUCCAUAGUUGCCAAAUUGUUCUGUAAAAACAACCAGAAUCAUAUGAGAAUUAGUUAUUGAACCAUAUGUCAUCUCUCGAUUAAUCAUAACUGAACUCGAAACUAUAAAAACUAAUGUGUCGUCACUUACUUUCCAUGGAAGAGAGCAACAUGGGAAAUAGUUGCGGUCAAAGUAGCGAAACUCAAGCCAUAAGAAAAGGCGAAGAAGACACUCAAGUAAAGUUUGCUAUAGCUUUCAUAGCCAACUUGAUCAAGAUCAAAGGUUUUGCUGUUAAGAACUCUAGAAAUGUUGUAGGGAUUGCCUAAGGAGUCAAAAGUGUGAGAAGAAAUGAAGGGAAAACGCUUGGCUUCAUAGACGUUAGACCAAUAUGCAAUGGGAAGCAUAACAUAAACAAUUAAGAAAAACCCAACUAAGAUAUUGAGAAUGGCAAAGCCAGGAGUGGCCAAUGGACUGCCCAAGAAGGCAGCAACUGUUGACCAGUCGAUACCAAACGAGCCGAUACCGAGACCGUAGAAACCUGAACCUAUCUGUUGAGCAACGAUGGAGUCUUUCCAAAUGAGACAAGCAAUAGAGAUACAAGAAAUGGAGGGGAAGAGAUAGCUAGGGAUAAGGUAGUAAGAAAAGCUUGAGAUAAAAAUUAAGAGGAAAAAUUGGAGCCUUGUAUGUCCUCCUCUUGGCCUCUUCUCUUUCUCAUGCAAUGCCCUGAAUUUUCAUAUGCUCAACAUUAAAUUUUGUAACACAACAAUAUAGUUUUUACUAGAAAAUAAUAUGAAAAGUAUAUAUAACCUGAAAAGAGAAACCUGAACCAAAUUUGCUGGCCACCACAUGUAUGGAGAAUCCACAAGGAAUUUUCUAAAUAUUCCAGCCCAUCCAUAGCCAAGCAUCUAUUGCAAAAGAGAGUUUUUGUUAUUAUCAGUUAGUAGUUAAUGGAAAAUCGAAAAACUCAGACCACGAGGUUAAUAUUACAAAAGUUCAUAUCAGCUUGAACAAAAACAAUACCUGAGUAGUCAUAGAAAGCAUCAGAGCAGCAGCAGGAUGAAGAUUUCUAUGGUAGAAUGCCUUAACAAUAGUGAUAAUGUUAACAGCAUAAACACUGCUAGAUCCACAAUUGGCGAAAAUGGUAAUGAGAACAUGUUCUUUCAAGGUGAAAGGGCCAGGAUUCAAAGAGAAUGACCAAUUAAAGAUGGGUAGCUUGAAAACUUUGGUUGGAAGAGUUGUUGCCAUCAACUUUCCAAGAGGCAAAGCCACAAUUUGAGCUGAUACAGAUGAAAUAUAAAGUUGGUUUUGACGAUACCCAAAAAAUUGGUUCACAAAUGCCAGAAGACAACAUGAAACCAGCCCCAAAAACCAUGUUCGGAAUGUCAGUGCCGCCUCCGAUGGAUCAUCAGUGAUCGGAACUGUCAGCCUAACUUCCUCAAUCGGACAAUCAUUUUCUUCCACUUCUCCUACAAACAUAUAUCCAACAAUCAAUGUAAAUACCAAAAGAACAUGAGAUGAUCACUACAACAAUUUCACAUUGUAUAUGUAUGAAGACGAGUGUCAUCAUAGGGUAUAACGGUAGUUUAUAAAUGACACAAAGUCAGUCAUCAUACAUCGAUGUAAAUCAAAUACAUACGUCUCAAGCUGAUGAGUCUAGAUUUAGUAAAAUCGAUGAAAAACAAGAGACCGUAUGUUGAUGACACAAAAUCAUACAUUGUUAUAAAUCAGUUAGGUACGUCUGAAGAGGUUGAUGAGUUAUGGAAAGUUUAAUUAGAGUUGACCUUGAAUGGAGAAGCUGGAGUGAUUCUUGUGGUCAUGCAUGUCAUCUGUGAGCUUGGAUUGAGGGGCUACAUCCUCAGCGUGAUUUCCUGUCAUAACUCUCUUUGUUACUCUCUCUUGCCCUCCCUCCUUGUGUCAAAUUGUUCAUAGCAAAGCCAUUCUUUUUAUACCGAACACAAAAACCACAGUAUGGCCACAUUCAUGUCAUGGCUGACAAAGAUUCUUCUAUUUUUAGAACACUCCAGUUGUCAUUUACCUCUAAAGAAAUCGAUAACCAAUAAAGCCUAUUUUUCAGUUCAGCCUGUCACAGUUUUCUUACCCAAACAUCCAUCCCACCUUUGGAAAAAUGGAGGGAGAAAGCGUAUCUCUUUGUUGUCAAUUCAUAUUAACACGAUAGCAAAGGCUAUAAAAUUCAAGUGAUCAUUCGAAAUGAGCCAUAUAUAAUUUUUCUGACCUUAUUAGCUUUGUCACAUUCAUGUCAUAUAUAAUUUGUCAUAGCAAAGCCAUUCUUUUUAUAUCAAAUUUUUCUGACCUUAUUAUCUUUUUCUUUUUAUACACAUAGCUAACAUAUUGUCAUGUUCAAUGAAUCAUACAAAUUUUGUCAUGUUCAAUGAAUCAUACAAAUUUAUGUGUUAUUAUUUACUAUCUAUAUGCUUGGUCUUUGAUUGUUGAUUUUGUUUGUCACCCAAAAAAUAAUGAACCCAAAUCAUAACUAAUUGGAAAGAAAUUGAAACCUCGUAAUCAUUACUUAUCUAACUUUUAAUUAAUUUCGAAUAAGAAUAUACAUUUAUUUAAUAUGAUAUCAAAAGUUUAUGGUUGGAAUGAAGAACAUAAUAAAAAAAAGGUUUCAAAAGUCUAAGGUGGUAAACAAAAAUAUUAUCUCGCGCCAAUUUAUAUUUGUUAAAAGUUUCACAUUGAAAGAAUAGAGAAAAAUCAAAAUAUAUCUUUACAAAAUUGACGAGUAAUUCCUCGAAUUAUCAUUACUUUGGCAUAUAUAAAUGCUCAUCGUCCAUUUGGAAAUGGAUGGCUACGUGUGAAAUUGAUUGUCGUUGCUUUUCUGGGAAAUUUGAAUUUAUAACACAAACAAUUAUUGUAUGGUUUUAAUCUGGGUAGGGACUUUGGUUUAAAUUUAUCCACCUUAUGCAAAAAAUAAUAUGAAAUUAUAAGUUCGCUUUUCAUAGUCUGUUUAGAAUAUUAGAUUAGAUAAAAAAAGAUUAUUAAAAUCGUUUUAUUUAAACUAUAUAUUUGAAUAGAAACUAAUUAAAAUAAACUUUGAAAACAAUGCAAAAGUUAUUUUGGAGGGGUUAGUCGAACUUUUUUUCUAAAAUCACUUACCUUAUAAGUUAAACACAUACACAUGAUCAUUAUUUAUACUAUUACCUUUUGUUUUUCAUGUGUGUUUUCUAUGUAGAACUAACGUUGGUAUAGAAUUGUGUUUUACUAAAAUUCAUUUUAACAAAAUUAUAAUAAAUGGUAGUUGCAAAUUUAGCAAUUAGAUUCAAAAUAAUUAAAUAUAUAACAAUUUUUUUAAAAAAUUAUAAAUAUAGUAAAAUUUGUCAAAUUUUAUCAAUGAUAGAAGCCUAUUAUCGAUAGACCAUAUUGUAAAUAUUGAUGACCAUUUGAGGAAUAAUAAUUAAGGAUAUAACAAUGUUUUUAAAAAAAUUGUAAAUAUAGCAAAAUUAUCGCUGAUAGACUUGUAUCAUUGAUAGACUCGUAUGAUCUAUCACUGAUAGACCAAUAUUUACAACGUGGUUUAUCGGUGAUAGACUUUUAUCAUGGAUAGAAUUUGACAAAAUUUGCUAUAUUUACAAAUUUUUUAAAAUAUUGUUAUAUACUUAAUUAUUUUAAAUCUAAUUACUAAAUUUGCAAUUAUCCCAUUUAUUAAAGGAUAGGAGCAAGUGUCUUCCCUCACAUUCUCGAUUUUUGUAUUUUAAUAUUAAUUUUGAAGUGUCAUAUUACAAUAUAUAUCAAAUAAAGCUCUUAAUUAACUAAAUUUUAGUUAUAGUGAUGUAGUGGUCGUGCUUCUUAUAAAACCAUGAGAUUAUGUGUUCAAAUCUUAUUGACAAUAGUUAUUGUUUUCUUUUUUUUUAUGCAAUUUUUAAAUCUACAUGUUUACCUUACAAAAAAUUAUGUAAAAGAUGUCGAUCUUUUUUUAUUGCUAGUGAAAUGUUAUUGGAACAUUAUUGAAAUGUUGAGAUAUUUUGUUUAUACUUUUUUAGUGUACUUAUUAUAUAGUGUGUAGUGCUCUCUAUAUAAAAUUUAUCGAGAAAUACACUAUUUUUAAUUUUUGAAAAUUGUAAAAAAUAGAACAUUGAAAAUUGUCAAAAAUAGAACGAAAUAUUUACAUCAUCAAAAUUAAAUAUAAAACUUUUGGGAGUUCAUGCUAUAAUUGAAAUGAACUCCAUAAUUGAAUAAUACUUUUAAAAUUUGAUUUUCUUUUAUUGAGAAAAUUAAUUGGAAAAGUAUUCAUUGUUGUUUGAGAAAACAAUUAAACAAUACAUGUACAAUGAAGAGUAAGAAUAUGAUAAAAUCAAUUGUACAAUGCACAUGUUACAAUAAAGUUAUAUAAUAGGUGCUUUAAACAAAAAUGUCAAUCAUACUUUAUUUUUGUUUUAUUAGUUUUUUUUUUUAUAAAUUUUUCCUCUUUUUAUUUUUACCUUUUUCCAGAAAGACCAACCAUACUCUUUAAUUUCAUUAAAUAUAUUUAUUAAUAUUUUUUCUUUAAUUAAAUUAAAAUAAAAAAACAUUAAUUUUGUGUACACCAUUUCUUGCUUCUUUUUGCAUUAGCCUUCUUACACCCAAUUUAUUACCUACUACCCUAAGAAUUUGUUUUCAUCCCAUUGAUCAUUGAUUUGUUGUUGUUUGACCAUACUUGGACGAAUCGAAUCUCUAAUUAUAAUAUUAGUUUUAGGUUAGUUGAACUAUAUAUUCAUUUUUGACGCAUUAUUGACCCAUUCUAAUUUGAUUUAUUAAAUUUAGUAAUCGUAGUCAUGGACAAUGUUAAGGGUUUUCUUUUUGGAAAAUUGCAAAAUUCAUCGUGGUGGUUAUGAUAAAUGAACUUAAUAUAUGAGUUUGUGAAAUGAAAUAAAAUGGAUCAAAUUGUUUUAGUUCUUUUUUGUAUAACUGUAAUCGAUUGUUAGUUCUUUUUAAGAAUAAUAAUGAAGGAUAUAACAACAUUUAAAAAAAAAAAUGCAAAUAUAGCAAAACAAUCGUUGAUAGACUUGUAUUGCUGAUAAACUCGUAUGAUCUAUCAGUGAUAAAUCAAUAUUUACAACACGGUCUAUUGGUGAUAGACUUCUAUCAUUGAUAAAAUUUGACAAAUUUGGCUAUAUUUACAAAUUUUUAAAAAUGUUGCUAUAUACUUAAUUAUUUAAAAUCUAAUUGCUAAAUUUGCAAUUAUCCCUUCUUUUUUUAAAAAAUAUAAAUGAAAUAAAGGACCUUAACAAAGUUCAAUCUAAAGAGGGUCCAUGGGCGAAUCUACAGAGAGGUUAGAGAGAUAAUUAGAUCGACCUAUGAGGUGAGCUUAGUGGAGUUCAUAAUAGUCUAGGAGAGAACUCAAAGAGAACUAAUGGGAAUCCUAAAAGAGCUUUGUGAGAGCUCAGUGGAGAUCUAUGAGUUAAGCUUGAUGAGACUCAAAGAAACUUGUGAGAGAGCUCAAAGGUCUCAUGAGAGAGACUAAGAGGGCUUAAUGCAACUCAUGAGGCAAGCUUAGCGAAGCUUAAAGGGUUUAGGUGGAGCUUAGAGAGCAUAAGAGAUCAAAUAUCAAGAUGACAUACGAGAGAUCAGGAGCUCAAUGCGAUCCAUACGUUGAGCUUAAUAAAGCUCAAGAGAGCUCAAAGGACGUUUAGAGAGCUUAGAAGAGUCUAAAAGAGUUUAGGCAUAAGAAGCCUAAGUUUAGAGCAACCUAAGAGAGCUCAUUUUAGGAAAGUUUAAAGGAGUUCUAGGCAUGGCGAGGUUAGGAGAAUCUAAUUAAGAAGCUUAGGCACGAGGAGCGUAAAAAAGCUUAGAGAAGUCUAAGCCUAGAGGAGAUUGUAGGAUCCAUGGAAUCUAUAGGAGCUUCAAAGAACUCGAUUGAGUGAUUGAAGAUGAAGUCAUCCACAUUCAUAACAAAUAGCCCAUGACGCAGAUAUUAAAAAUUUGAGUGGUGUUAAAGGACACUAUGAGUCCAAGUGACCAUUAUACUUUAUUACUCUAUAAAAGCGACCAAAGUCAUUAGUUGAAGGUAGCCCAAAAACCUACUACUUAUUUAGAAUCCAAUUACCUACAAACCUAAGACUAAUUGAGUGUUAGAGUAUGUGUUGACUAGACACCACAUCAACACUUAUCCUCUCUUAAGCGUUGCAAACAAUUCGACUAUCCUCGUCCAUAAUAUAAAUUCACGAUUACAUCUAAAAUUUCUUUUAAUAUUACCUCAUUUUUUUCAUUGUUUUUUUUAGAAAACAUUAUUUAUGAAAAUACUCCCUAAAAUAUAGGGGUAAAAAGGAUCCAUAGUUUUUUUUUUUUUUUUUUUUUUCCAUUCAUUUAUUUAUUUAUAAAUGUUAGAACUAAAUUUCCAAUAAUAAACCCUAGCCAAUUCUAUUUCCAAUAACUAUUUCUUAAACCCUCCCCUCCCGUCUAAAACCUUCUCAGCCGUGCUCCUGAGUGCCGUCGCCGCCGUCUUUCUCGAUUUUGCUUCUCCGCCGGACACUUCUUCCUUGUUUUGGUCUCAGGUAUUCUAAUUGUUGUUCUUAUUCUCUUCGAAGCAAAGCUUCUUAAAGCUUUACUUGACCCUUAUCUGUCGGAUUUUGCUCCCACCUCCUUGUUUAAACUUACAGCCGAGCCCACCGACUAAAUAACUCUGCGCACACUGAAUCGGAAGUUGACAAUGUCCGGCAAAGAUAAGAAUUUGCAUAAUAUGUCGGAGUCGGAAUCCGAGCAAGAAGGCGUUGACAAAGAAGGCAUUGAGUGGAUAAUGAAUCUUCCAGACGUGCCCAUGAAGCUCCCACCACAUGUCGAAUUGCAGAGAACUCGAGUCGAAUGCAAAGCCGAUGCUCCCAUUCAUGUACUCUUCGUUUCCAUUUCCCAUAAUUUGGUUAUUCAAAUUCUAAGAAUGGGAAAUAUCCUUUUUAGUAUGUUUACUGUAGUUGUAUGUUUAAUGUGAAUUUAUUAAAUUACGUUUCAUGCUUCUGGAGAGAAGUGAAUUUAAUGGAACCUGUUUACUUUACUUGAUUUUUAUUCAUAGUACGUGUACAUACUAUUUCUCAUGUUGUAAUUAGCUUACCUUAGUUUUCUUCUCAUGGUCCUUGUGGAAAACGUGGACUUCUGUAGACAGAUACCAUACAGUAUUCUGGAGCAUUUGCUUCCAUGGGCUUUGACAACAGUUUACGUCUGGAUAAUUUUCGCAACAACUUUAAAAUUGAAGUUAUUGAUCUGAAAGAGGAUGACAUUGAGUUUGACAUGAUUGGCAUUGAUCCAGCACUUGCUAAUGCAUUUCGAAGAAUCCUGAUAUCCGAGGUAGGUAACCAAGCAGAAUGAAUUGAAACUAUAAUAAUUGAUUAUUUUAGUGAGACUUUACUGAGUUCUUGGUGUUUACUUCCUUGCCACUACUUCUGGUGUUGUUAUGUGUGUCCAAUAUAUAUAAACGCUCAAGAUUUAGCCCAAGCUGCAAGCUCUUAGCUUUCUUUCCUUCACAUAGAGCUUGUGCUUCGUAGGGAAAAGAUGUAUGCUUUUGAUGACAAUGUAUGAAUGUUUGUAGUCUUUAUGGUUUAUGAAUGGUUAUAAAUUACGAUGGUUGUUUUCUAUUGUUCAAAAAUUGCAAGUUUGUUCAUGUAUCAAAAGCUAAUAAAAUGGGGAUAUUGAUGGUGAUGGCUUUGAAUGUUUUAGAGUUUUUCUUGUCAGACAUGGCCCAGGGUGCAAGCCCAUACUUUGGUUAAAAAGAAAAAGAAUUCUGUCUUGUAAUUGCCUAUUAUUUCUUUUUCUACUUUGGCUUAAAGAAACACUACUGUCGUGACAAACAUUAGGAAUGAGACAACCCCCUGUUAACUAUAAUGAUGAUUAUAUUGAGAAUGUCUUUCAGAAUCUUUAGAUGUGAAAACUGACAGUUCAAACUUUUUUUUUCCUUGAACAUUAGAAAAUAUCAAUUCUCAGUGGUUUAUGUAGAGGGUGAAACUGAGAGUGUGUAGAUAUGACCCUCAUACAUUUGUUUGGGGUGCAAGCAGUGACAGAUCCAAAAGUUUUGUUGAAGGGGGUGUUUUAGUUUAGUAAAAGUAAUCUGAAAAAAAAUGUAAGGAAUGGAGCUUGAAUCAAGGUCUAGAGGGGGCUGGAUGACAGCUUUACCACUGGACUAGCAACUGGAAUUGGUAUAAUUACAGUUUUCUAUAUACAUAUUAUAUAUAUAUAAAUAGCAUAAGGUUGACGGGGGGGCUCAAGGUCCCCUUGGGCCUAUAGUAAAUCCACUGGUGGGUGCAAGUGGUGGAUCAAGAGGCCUUUGCAAAAUCUUCAGUGAAGCUAUCCCCUUUGUUUUCCAUUAUUCUCUCAAUUUAUCACUUUGCUGGUGAAGGUUUGAAGGUUUAUUUUUGGGAGGAUUGCUAGUGGGAUUUGAACUUCUUUGUUCUUUGUUUUGGAGGUAAUAUAUAUAGUCUUUCGAAUAAUGAGGUUGCAUUAUGUGGCCUUAGUGUUGCCUUCAAUAGACCCCUCUUCUUCGAUUCCUGUAGAGGGUUCUAGCGUCCUUAGCAUGAUAGGGGUACAAUGAAAUUGGCUGAUCUUUUUUCUCUUCUUUGAAACCAGCAUGUCAUUCCAAGGAGAAGAAAUGUUAGUAUUUGGUCCUCCGAACCCUAUAGGGGUUUCUUUUGGCAUUAUAAUGUCAUUCCACUUCUGGUUGCCUCUCUUUUCUCUCUUCCU
rnacentral:lncRNA from 1 species